CUGUUAAUUAUUGUAACAAACUUUAUCAUUUGCCAGUUUGCACUGUGUUGAGAACUGACCAAUAAGUUUUGUUUGCCAAUUAGCUUUCUGUGUGCAUGCUCUUAAUCCCCAUAUUACUAAUUUCUGAAUCAAACAUUAUUAUUUCUGUCCUCAACAAGUCGCAGCGCUAUGUUCUGUUUUUUGUUUAGUUAGCUCUGUCAAAUAUAAUCAACCUGCCUAUGUUCCAUUUUGCUAUUUGUACUUAGGUAGAAAAAGCUAAAAUCUGUACAUGUAAUGCUGAAGCUAUAUUGGUUGCUUGUUUCUUAAUUUUUUCUUCUAUAAUGAUGAUCUGAAAUGCCACGCAGGUCAUUAUUGGUGGUGCUACUGCUGUUGUUGUGGUUGUUGGAGGUGUUGCUGUUGCAUCUGGCGGAGCUGCCGUUGGGGCCCCAAAAGGUAACCUUCAUCAGCCACAACCCCACAACAAUGGCUCAAGGUUCUGUGCCCUAUCACCCCUCUUUCUAAAUUACUGAAAUGAACCAAGAUCUCAUAUAUUUAGGAACGGAGGUAGUAGUAAGGUUAAAAUAGAAAAGCAAGGGAUGUUUCUAAUUUGGUUAUGCUAGAAUAAUGCAUCAACUCGUGGCAUUCUUGGAUGUUACUCUAAGGUGUCAAAAUGAUAGUAAAACCUAGGCUCUUGCAUGGUUCUUGAAUUAAUUUUUCUAUUUUAUGGCUAACAAAUAUUGCCUAUGUUGAGACUCUAAACAUGUGGAUUUUCCUCUCAUUUAUAGGAAUUCUACCUGAAGAAAUUCGGAGAAAACUUGAAGCCCCAGUUAGCGACUUGCUUUAUAUGUUAUUGACUUGUCAUGCUAAAUUUGUUGAGAAUUUUGAUAUACUAUUGCACAUGUUACUCGAAUGCUGGUAGUUAUGUACAUAUACUCACAAUAUUAUCCGUUGUUUACUUGAAAUGCAUUCUUGGGCUGAAAGUGGCUGAAAAAGUAUAUGCUGUGUUGAUUCUGCGUUGAUUGUGUAUGUCUAUUCUACAAAAGAAGAGGCACGGUCCAAAUGGAAUUAGUACUGAAAUGUCUAUUUGACCUAAUCUAUUUGGGCUUUGAAAAGAGGCCCGAAACAUAUUGCCAGCAAUUAAGUCUGAAAAUUAAAUAUAAAUGUGUAAAAAAGGCCGAGGCCCAAAAAAGAAACAGAUAGUAGAAGGCCCUGGCCUAGAAGAAAAUGCUGAAAUGUUGGGCUUGGCCCGUGAAUUUGACCAAAAAUUGAUAGGAAAAAAUAUAAAAAGGCUAAAUUAUUGGGCUAGGCCCAAGUAGAACAGCAAAUUGGACCGUGCUGAAUCUUAUCAACGAACUUUUCAAUUGGUCGCAGUUUUGCCACGUCAGAUUGCCACGUCGGAUCCGACGUGGCCUGGGAAGACUGCCAGUGACUAAAACAAAAGGUCGUGGGUUCCACGACGUUUUGUUUUGGUUGUAAAUGUCUACGACCUUAUCCCGAAGAAGGUCGUUAAUUUCAGUUUACGACCUCCAGCUUUAACCAUCUGUUUUUUGUCAAAAAAAUGUCGCAAAUGAAAAAUAAUGACCUUUCAGUAACCAAUAUUGAUGGUGGCAAGUUGACAUAUUUCUUGUAGUGAUUCUUGAAUGUUUUACCAUCAUUUUAUAGCAACUUUAUAUCAGUUUUUCGGACUGACCUAUUGACAUAGUGUCCAGUGCUAGUUUCUGUUUUUUGCUUGUUUUUGACUUCAUGAAUUUCAGUACCAAAUGCAGUACAAAUGCAGCAAAACUUUUUGGAGAUUUUUUGUUUGGACCAGAAGACAACUUGGGAACCAAGAAAGCACCUGGGGGAGGUCCGUGGGGAGCACAACCCACCAGGGCACACCCAGGAGCCCAGGCACGCCCUGGUGAGUUGUGGGGCCCACGGGUGCCUCCUUCACUGCCUCUUCGCCCUAUAAAUACCCAAAUAUUCCAGAAACCCUACGGGAGUCGAUGAAACACAAUUCCAGCCACCACAAGUUCCAGAACAACGAGAUCCAAUCAAAUACCAUACGGAGGGGUUCAUCAUUCUCAUCGGUGCCUCUCAAAUGAUGAAUGAGUUGUCCACCAUAGACCUACAGGUCCAUAGGCAGUAGCUAGAUGGCUUCCUCUUUCUCUUUUGACUCUCAAUACAAUGGUCUUUUGGAGAUAUUGGGAAAUGUAGCAUGAAAUUUCAAAAAAAAUUCUACGCUCACGCAAGAUCUAUCUAGGAGAUGCAUAGCAAAGAGAGGGGGAGAGUGUGUCCAUGAACCCUCGUAGACCGAAAGCGGAAGCAUUUGAUAACGCGGUUGAUGUAGCCGAACUUCUUCUAGAUCCGACCGAUCAAGCACCGAACGUACGUCACCUCCAAGUUCUGCACACUUUCAGCUCGAUGACGUCCCUCGUCCUCUUGAUCAAGCAAAGGUGUCGAGGAAGAAGAUGAGUUCUGUCAGCACGACGGUGUGAUGACGGUGAUGGUAAAGUGAUCCGCGCAGGGCUUCGCCUAAGCAAUAUGAAGAUAUGACCCAGUGGAGGGGGGCGCCACACAUAGCUAACAAUUAUUGGUGUGUCUUCUAGGCGCCCCCUCCCUACGUAUAUAUAGGUGGGAGGGAGAGGGUAGCAGCCUUGGGGUGCCCCAAGUAGGAGGAAUCCCACUUGGGGUCCUCCCCCAAUUCGGCCACCCCCUUUCCUUAUUUCCGAAGAGAAAGAGGGAAGGGGGAAGGGAGAAAGGAAAGGGGGGGGGGGGGCGAACCGCCCUUGCUCCUUCUCCAAUUCGGCCACAUGCCUAAUUGUGGGCGCGCCACCCCUUAUGGGCUGGUGUGCUCCCCUUUUAUGGCCCAUAUGGCCCAUAUCUUCACCCAGGGGGUUCCGGUAACCCCCUCGAUACUCCGAUAAAUACCCGAUACGAUCAGAAGCACUUUUGGUGUCCGAAUACUAUCAUCCUAUAUAUCAAUCUUUACCUCUCGACCAUUUUGAGACUCCUCAUCAUGUCCGUAAUCUCAUCCGGGACUCCGAACAACAUUCUGUCACCAAAUCACAUAACUCAUAUAAUAUUAAAUCGUCAUCGAACGUUAUGCGUGCGGACCCUACGGGUUCGAGAACUAUGUAGACAUGACCAAGACACCUCUCUGGUCAACUGGUUAAUAACCAAUAGCGGAGCAUGUAUGCUCAUAUUGGCUCCUACAUAUUCUAUGAAUAUCUUUCUCAGUCAAACCGUUAUGACAACAUACAUUAUUCCCUUUGUCAUCGGUAUGUUUCUUGCCCGAGAUUCGAUCGUCGGUAUCUUCAUACCUAGCUCAAUCUCGUUACUGGCAAGUCUCUUUACUCGUUUCGUAAUACAUCAUCCUGCAACAAACUCAUUAGUCACUUUACUUGCAAGGCUUCUUAUGAUGUGCAUUACUGAGAGGGCCCAGACAUACCUCUCUGAUACUCGGAGUGACAAAUCCUAAUAUCGAUCUAUGCCAACCCAAAAAACACCUUCGGAGAUACAUGUAGAGCAUGUUUAUAAUCACCCAAUUAUGUUGUGACGUUUGAUAGCACACAAGGUAUUCCUCCGGUAUCCGGGAGUUGCAUAAUCUCAUAGUCGAAGGAAUAUGUAUUUGACAUGAAGAAAGCAAUAGCAAUAAAACUGAACGAUCAAUACACUAAGCUAACGGAUGGGUCUUGUCCAUCACAUCAUUCUCCUAAUGAUAUGAUCCCGUUCAUCAAUUGACAACACAUGUCAAUGGUUAGGAACUUUACCAUCUAUGAUUAACAAGCAAGUAUAGUAGAGGCUUAUUAGGGACACGAUGUUUUGUCUAUCUAUCCACACAUGUAUAAAGUUUCCGAUUAAUACAAUUCUAGCAUGAAUAAUAAACAUUUAUCAUCAUAUAAGGAAAUAUAAAAUAACAACUUUAUUAUUGUCUCUAGGGCAUAUUUCCUCCAGCCUCCCACUUGCACUAGAGUCAAUAAUCUAGUUCACAUCGCCAUGUGAUUUAACACCAAUAGUUCACAUCUUUAUGUGAACAACACCCAAAGGGUUUACUAGAGUCAAUAAUCUAGUUCACAUCGCUAUGUGAUUAACACCCAAAGAGUACUAAGGUGUGAUCAUGUUUUGGUUGUGAGAGAAGUUUAGUCAACGGGUCUGCCACAUUCAGAUCCAUAUGUAUUUUGCAAAUUUCUAUGUCUACAAUGCUCUGCAUGGAGCUACUCUAGCUAAUUGCUCCUACUUUCAAUAUGUAUCCAGAUCGAGAAUCAGAGUCUUCCAGAUUGGUGUCAAAGCAUGCAUCGAUGUAAAUCUUUACGACGAACACUUUACCACCUCCAUAAUCGAGAAACAUUUCCUUAGCCAUCUAAGGAUAAUUUUGACCGUUGUCCAGUGAUUCACUCCAGGUUCACUCUUUUACCUCCUUGCCAAAACCAUGUCAAGGCACACAAUAGGUCUGGUACACAGCAUGGCAUACUUUAUAGAACUUAUGACUAAGGCAUAGGAAAUGACUUUCAUUAUCUCUCUCUAUAUUCUGUCGUGGUCGGGUUUUGAGUUUAACUCAACUUCACACCUUGUUACACAUGUAAGAACCCUUUCUUUGACUGUUCAAUUUUGAACUUCUUCAAAAAGUUUGUCAAGGUAUGUGCUUUGUGAAAGUCCUAUUAAGCAUCUCAAUCUAUUCCUAUAGAUCUUGAUGCCCAAUAUAUAACUAGCUUCACCAAGGUCUUUCAUUGAAAAACUCUUAUUCAAGUAUCCUUUUAUGCUAUCCAGAAAUUCUAUAUCAUUUCCAAUCAAUAAUAUGUCAUCUACAUAUAAUAUCAGAAAUGCUACACAGCUCCCACUCACUUUCAUGUAAAUAUAGGCUUCACCAAAAGUCUGUACAAAACCAUAUGCUUUGAUCACCUUAUCAAAGCGUAUAUUCCAACUCCGAGAUGCUUGCACCAGUCCAUAGAUGGAUCGCUGGAGUUUGCACACUUUGUUAGCACCUUUAGGAACGACAAAACCUUUUGGUUGCACCAUAUACAACUCUUCUUUUAGAAAUCCAUUAAGAAAUGUAGUUCAUCCAUUUGCCAGAUUUCAUAAAAUGCGGCAAUUUCAGACAUGAUUCGGACAGACUUAAGCAUCGCUAUGAGUGAGAAAAUCUCAUCGUAGUCAACACCCUGAACUUGUCGAAAACCUUUUGCGACAAGUCGAGAUUUUUAGAUAGUAACACUACCAUCAGUGUACGUCUUCCUCUUGAAGAUCCAUUUAUUCUCAAUGGCUUUCCGAUCAUUGGCCAAGUCCACCAAAGUCCACACUUUGUUCUCAUACAUGGAUCCUAUCUUAGAUUUCUUGGCCUCAAUCCAUCUGUCGGAAUCUGGGCUCAUCAUAGCUUCUUCAUAGUUUGUAGGUUCGCCAUGGUCUAAUAACAUGAUUUUCAGGACAAGAUUACCAUACCACUCUGGUGCGGAACGUACUCUCUUCGACCUAUGAGUUCUAGUGGUAAUUUGAUCAAGAGUUUCAUGAUCAUCAUCAUUAGCUUCCUCUCUAGUUGGUGUAGGCAUCACGGGAAUGGAUUUCACUUAUGUGCUACUUUCUAAUUCAAGAGAAGGUACAAUUACCUCAUCAGGUUCCUGCUCCCACUCACUUCUUUCGAGAGAAACUCCAUCUCUAGAAAGGUUCCAUUCUUGGCAACAAAGAUCUUGCCUCCGGAUCUGUGGUAGAAGGUGAACCCAAUUGUUUCCUUAGGGUAUCCUAUGAACAUGCACUUGUUUGAUUUGGGUUCAAGCUUAUCAGGCUGAAGGCUUUUUAACUUGUUGAGAAUUUUGACUUGUCAUGCUAAAUUUGUUGAGAAUUUUGAUGUACUGUUGCACAUGUUACUCGAAUGCUGGUGGUUAUGUACAUAUACUCACAAUAUUAUCCGUUGUUUACUUGAAAUGCAUUCUUGGGCUGAAAGUGGCUGAAAAAGUAUAUGUUGUAUUGAUUUUGCGUUGAUUGUGUAUGUCUAUUCUACAAAAGAAGAGGCACGGUCCAAAUGGAAGAAGUACUGAAAUGUCUAUUUGACCUAAUCUAAUUGGGCUUUGAAAAGAGGCCCGAAACAUAUUGCCAGCAAUUAAGUCUGAAAAUUAAAUAGAAAUGUGUAAAAAAGGCCGAGGCCCAAAAAAGAAACAGAUAGUAAAAGGCCGUGGCCUAGCAGAAAAUGCUGAAAUGUUGGGCUUGGCCCGUGAAUUCGACCAAAAAUUGAUAGGAAAAAAAUAUAAAAAGGCUAAAUUAUUGGGCUAGGCCCAUGUAGAACAGCGAAUUGGACCGUGCUGAAUCUUAUCAACGAACUUUUCAAUUGGUCACAGUUUUGCCACGUCAAAUUGCCACGUCGGAUCUGACGUGGCCUGGGUAGACUACCAGUGACCAAAACAAAAGGUCACGGGUUCCACGACCUUUUGUUUUGGUUGUAAACGUCUACGACCUUAUCCUGAAGAAGGUCGUUAAUUUCAGUUUACGACCUCUAGCUUUUAACCAUCUGUUUUUGGUCAAAAAAAGGUCGCAAAUGAAAAAUAAUGACCUUUCAGUGACCAAUAUUGAUGGUCGCAAGUUGACAUAUUUCUCGUAGUGAUUAUUGGAUGUUUUACCAUCAUUUUAUAGCAACUUUAUGUCAGUUUUUCGGACUGACCUAUUGACAUAGUGCCCAGUGCUAGUUUUUGUAUUUUGCUUGUUUUCGACUUCAUGAAUAUCAGUACCAAAUGCAGUACAAAUGCAGCAAAACUUUUUGGAUAUAUUUUGUUUGGACCAAAAGACAACUUGGGAACCAAGAAAGCACCUGGGGGAGGUCCGUGGGGAGCACAACCCACUAGGGCACACCCAGGAGCCCAGGCACGCCCUGGUGAGUUGUGGGGCCCAUGGGUACCUCCUUCACUGCCUCUUCGCCCUAUAAAUACCCAAAUAUUCCAGAAACCAUAGGGGAGUCAAUGAAACACAAUUCCAGCCACCACAAGUUCCAGAACAACGAAAUCCAAUCAAACACCAUACGGAGGGGUUCAUCAUUCUCAUUGGUGCCUCUCAAAUGAUGCAUGAGUUGUCCACCAUAGACCUACAGGUCCAUAAGCAGUAGCUAGUUGGCUUCCUCUCUCUCUUUUUACUCUCAAUACAAUGGUCUCUUGGAGAUAUUGGGAAAUGUAGCAUGCAAUUUAAAAAAAAAUCCUACGCUCACGCAAGAUCUAUCUAGGAGAUGCAUAGCAACGAGAGGGGGAGAGUGUGUCCACUUACCCUCGUAGACCGAAAGCGGAAGCGUUUGAUAACGUGGUUGAUGUAGCCGAACUUCUUCUAGAUCCGACCGAUCAAGCACCGAACAUACGUCACCUCCAAGUUCUGCACACUUUCAGCUCGAUGACGUCCCUCGUCCUCUUGAUCAAGCAAAGGUGUCGAGGAAGAAGAUGAGUUCUGUCAGCACGACGGUGUGGUGACGGUGAUGGUAAAGUGAUCCACGCAGGGCUUCACCUAAGCACUACGAAGAUAUGACCCUGUGGAGGGGGGCGCCACACAUAGCUAACAAUUAUUGGUGUGUCUUCUAGGCGCCCCCUCCCUACGUAUAUAUAGGUGGGAGGGAGAGGGUAGCAGGCUUGGGGUGCCCCAAGUAGGAGGAAUCCUACUUGGGGUCCUCCCCCAAUUCGGCCACCCCUCUUUCCUUAUUUCCGAAGAGAAAGAGGGAAGGGGGAAGGGAGAAAGGAAAGGGGGGGGGGGCGAACCGCCCUUGCUCCUUCUCCAAUUCGGCCACAUGCCUAAUUGUGGGCACGCCACCCCUUGUGGGCCGGUGUGCUCCUCUUUUAUGGCCCAUAUGGCCCAUAUCUUCCCCCAGGGGGUUCCAGUAACCCCCCGAUACUCCGAUAAAUACCCAAUACGAUCAGAAGCACUUUUGGUGUUCGAAUACUAUCAUCCUAUAUAUCAAUCUUUACCUCUCGACCAUUUUGAGACUCCUCAUCAUGUCCGUGAUCACAUCCGGUAAUCCGAACAACAUUCUGUCACCAAAUCACAUAACUCAUAUAAUAUUAAAUCGUCAUCGAACGUUAUGCGUGCGGACCCUACGGGUUCGAGAACUAUGUAGACAUGACCAAGACACCUCUCCGGUCAACUGGUUAACAACCAAUAGCGGAGCACGUAUGCUCAUAUUGGCUCCUACAUAUUCUAUGAAUAUCUUUAUCAGUCGAACCGUUAUGACAACAUACAUUAUUCCCUUUGUCAUCGGUAUGUUUCUUGCCCGAGAUUCGAUCGUCGGUAUCUUCAUACCUAGCUCAAUCUCGUUACUGGCAAGUCUCUUUACUCAUUUCGUAAUACAUCAUCCUGCAACUAACUCAUUAGUCACUUUGCUUGCAAGGCUUCUUAUGAUGUGCAUUACUGAGAGGGCCCAGAGAUACCUCUCUGAUACUCGGAGUGACAAAUCCUAAUAACGAUCUAUGCCAACCCAAAAAACACCUUCGGAGAUACAUGUGGAGCAUGUUUAUAAUCACCCAGUUAUGUUGUGACGUUUGAUAGCACACAAGGUAUUCCUCCGGUAUCCGGGAGUUGCAUAAUCUCAUAGUCGAAGGAAUAUGUAUUUGACAUGAAGAAAGCAAUAGCAAUAAAACUGAACGAUCAAUACACUAAGCUAACGGAUGGGUCUUGUCCAUCACAUCAUUCUCCUAAUGAUGUGAUCCCGUUCAUCAAUUGACAACACAUGUCAAUGGUUAGGAACUUUACCAUCUAUGAUUAACAAGCUAGUAUAGUAGAGGCUUAUUAGGGACACGAUGUUUUUUCUAUCUAUCCACACAUGUAUAAAGUUUCCGAUUAAUAAAAUUCUAGCAUGAAUAAUAAACAUUUAUCAUCAUAUAAGGAAAUAUAAAAUAACAACUUUAUUAUUGUCUCUAGGGCAUAUUUCCUCCAGCCUCCCACUUGCACUAGAGUCAAUAAUCUAGUUCACAUCACCAUGUGAUUUAACACCAAUAGUUCGCAUCUUUAUGUGAACAACACCCAAAGGGUUUACUAGAGUCAAUAAUCUAGUUCACAUCGCUAUGUGAUUAACACCCAAAGAGUACUAAGGUGUGAUCAUGUUUUAGUUGUGAGAGAAGUUUAGUCAAUGGGUCUGCCACAUUCAGAUCCGUAUGUAUUUUGCAAAUUUCUAUGUCUACAAUGCUCUGCAUGGAGCUACUCUAGCUAAUUGCUCCUACUUUCAAUAUGUAUCCAGAUCGAGAAUCAGAGUCUUCUAGAUUGGUGUCAAAGCAUGCAUCAAUGUAAAUCUUUAUGACGAACACUUUACCACCUCCAUAACCGAGAAACAUUUCCUUAGCCAUCUAAGGAUAAUUUUGACCGUUGUCCAGUGAUUCACUCCAGGUUCACUCUUUUACCUCCUUGCCAAAACCAUGUCAAGGCACACAAUAGGUCGGUACACAGCAUGGCAUACUUUAUAGAACUUAUGACUAAGGCAUAGGAAAUGACUUUCAUUAUCUCUCUCUAUAUUCUGUCAUGGUCGGGUUUUGAGUUUAACUCAACUUCACACCUUGUUACACAUGUAAGAACCCUUUCUUUGACUGAUCAAUUUUGAACUUCUUCAAAAAGUUUGUCAAGGUAUGUGCUUUGUGAAAGUCCUAUUAAGCAUCUCGAUCUAUUCCUAUAGAUCUUGAUGCCCAAUAUAUAACUAGCUUCACCAAGGUCUUUCAUUGAAAAACUCUUAUUCAAGUAUCCUUUUAUGCUAUCCAGAAAUUCUAUAUCAUUUCCAAUCAAUAAUAUGUCAUCUAUAUAUAAUAUCAGAAAUGCUACAGAGCUCCCACUCACUUUCAUGUAAAUAUAGGCUUCACCAAAAGUCUAUAUAAAACCAUAUGCUUUGAUCACCUUAUCAAAGCGUAUAUUCCAACUCCGAGAUGCUUGCACCAGUCCAUAGAUGGAUCGCUGGAGUUUGCACACUUUGUUAGCACCUUUAGGAACGACAAAACCUUUUGGUUGCACCAUAUACAACUCUUCUUUAAGAAAUCCAUUAAGAAAUGCAGUUCAUCCAUUUGCCAGAUUUCAUAAAAUGCGGCAAUUUCAGACAUGAUUCGGACAGACUUAAGCAUCGCUAUGAGUGAGAAAAUCUCAUCGUAGUCAACACCCUGAACUUGUCGAAAACCUUUUGCGACAAGUCGAGCUUUUUAGAUAGUAACACUACCAUCAGUGUCCGUCUUCCUCUUGAAGAUCCAUUUAUUCUCAAUGGCUUUCCGAUCAUUGGCCAAGUCCACCAAAGUCCACACUUUGUUCUCAUACAUGGAUCCUAUCUUAGAUUUCUUGGCCUCAAUCCAUCUAUCGGAAUCUGGGCUCAUCAUAGCUUCUUCAUAGUUUGUAGGUUCGCCAUGGUCUAAUAACAUGAUUUUCAGGACAGGAUUACCAUACUACUCUGGUGCGGAACGUACUCUGUUCGACCUAUGAGUUCUAGUGGUAAUUUGAUCAAGAGUUUCAUGAUCAUCAUCAUUAGCUUCCUCUCUAGUUGGUGUAGGCAUCACGGGAAUGGAUUUCACUUAUGUGCUACUUUAUAAUUCGAGAGAAGGUACAAUUACCUCAUCAAGUUCCUCCUCCCACUCACUUCUUUUGAGAGAAACUCCAUCUCUAGAAAGGUUCCAUUCUUGGCAACAAAGAUCUUGCCUCCGGAUCUGUGGUAGAAGGUGAACCCAAUUGUUUUCUUAGGGUAUCCUACGAAGAUGCACUUGUUUGAUUUGGGUUCGAGCUUAUCAGGCUGAAGGCUUUUUAACAUAAGUGUCGCAGCCCCAAACUUUAAGAAAUGAUAGCUUAGGUUUCUUGCCAAACCAUAGUUCAUACGAUGUUGUCUCAAUGGAUUUAGAUGGUGCCCUAUUUAACGUGAAUGCAGCUGUCUCUAAUGCAUAACCCCAAUAGGAUAGUGGAAAAUCAAUAAGAUAUGAUACGUCUCCAACAUAUCUAUACUUUUUGAUUGUUCCAUGAUGUUAUAUUAUCAAUCUUGGAUGUUUUGCAAUCAUUUUAUAGUCAUUUUAUAUCAUUUUUGGUACUAACCAAUUGACAUAGUGCCAAGUGCCAGUUCCUGUUUUUUCCGUGUUUUUCACAUCGCCGAAAAUCAAUAUCAGACGGAGUCCAAAUGCCACGAAACUUCAAGGAUAAUUUUUAUGGGAUAAAAGGAACACAACAGGCCCUGGCUACGCCUGGGGGGUGCCCCAAGGGGGGCACAACCCACCAAGGCGCGCUAGGAGGCCCAGGCGCGCCCUGGUGGGUUGUGCCAACCUCGGGAGCCCCCGGACCGCCUCUUUGCUCUAUAAAUACCACAAAAAUCCUAGAACCCAAGGGGAGUCAACGAAAUAUUCAUCCAGCCGCCGCAGAGUCCAGAACCAACAGAUCCCAUCUAGACACCAUCAAGGAUGGGGUUCACCACCACCAUUGGUGCUUCUCCGAUGCUGCACGAGUAGUUCUUUGUAGAUCUUCGGGUCCGUAGUUAGUAGUUAGAUGGCUUCAUCUCUCUCUCUCUCUCGAUUCUCAAUACAAUUGUCUCUUGGAGAUCCAUAUGAUGUAACUCUUUUGUGGUGUGUUUGUUGGGAUCCAAUGAACAUUGAGUUUAUGAUCAGAUCUAUCUUUUUAUAUCCAUGAAAGUUAUGUGAGUUUCUUUGAUCUCUUAUAUGCAUGAUUGCUUAUAGCCUCAUAUUUCUUCUCUGAUAUUUGGGUUUUGUUUGGCCAACUUGAUCUAUUUAUCUUGCAAUGGGAAGAAGUGCUUUGUAGUGGGUUCGAUCUUACGUGCUUGAUCCCAAUGACAGAAAGGGAAACAACACGUAUGUAUCGUUGCUACUAAGGAUAAAACGAUGGGGUCUAUCUCUACAUAGAUAAAUCAUGUCUACGUCAUGUCAUUGUUCUUAUUGCCUUACUCCGUUUCCACAUGAACUUAUUACACUAGAUGCAUGCUGGAUAGCGGUCGAUGUGUGGAGUAAUAGCAGUAGACGCAGGCAGGAGUCGGUCUACUAAUCUUGGGCGUGAUGCCUAUAUAAUGAUCAUUUCCUGGAUAUCGUCAUAAUUAUUCGAGGUUCUAUCAAUUGCCCAAUAUUAAUAUGUUCACCACCGUUUGCUAUUUUUCUCGAGAGGAGCCACUAGUGAAACCUACGACCCCCGGGUCUUCUUUCUCAUAUAUUUCCUUUGCGAUCUAUUUUUAUUUUCUUUUAUUUUCAGAUCUGCUAAACCAAAAACCCAAAAAUAUUGUGUUGCACUUUAUUUUAUUUGUGAUCUAUUUAUGCAAUCUAUUACAACUUUCUCCCGUCAUCGCACCAAUUUCUGACACCGUUACCUAAAAGGGAUUGACAACCCCUUUAACAUGUCGGGUUGCGAGGAUUUGUUAUCUGUGUGCAGGGGUUGUUUACGUUGUGUUGCUUGGUUAUCCUACUGGUUCGAUAACCUUGGUUUCAUAUCUUAUGGAAAUACCUACCACUGUUGUGCUGCAUCAUCCCCUCCUAUUUGGGGUAAUACAAACGUAGCUUCAAGCGACAUCAAAAGGAAUUUCUGGCGCCGUUGCCGGGGAGAAUCAAGUCAAGAUAGCCUCCCGUCAACAUGCCAUUUCUAGCGCCGUUGCCGGGGAGUAUCUUCAACAUAUACUAGGUUCCUAAUCACAAAUCUCAUCUCCUCACAAUUUACUUUAUUUGCCAUUUGCCUCUCGUUUUCCUCUCCCCCACUUCACAAAAAAUUUCCGUUUUAUUCGCCUCUCCCUUCCAUUCACCGGUCUCUUGUUUUCUAGUCUCGAUGGCUAGCAUCCCAACUCCUUUGUCACGAUGAACACCAACUUAGGAACGCCAAGGUUAACAUGGAUAAUAUGUUUUAUGUUGUGUUCACAAAACAUCAUGAUGGAAAUACCUCUAAGAAAGUUACGAACAAGGAUGACAAAACUUAGAUCCUUUCUUUAUGCCUAGCUAAUGGCGUAAAACUAUAGCGCUUGUUGGGAGGCAACCCAAUGAAUAAAUUUUAUUUUUGCUUUUUGCUUUCCGUUCUUGAGUGUUGGCACAAUUAUGCUACUGUUAUGAUUGUGUUUUUUUAUGUGUAAUUAGUGUUUGUGCCAAGUAAAGCCUUUAGGAUCUUCUUGGGUGAUAGUUGUUUGAUCUUGCUAAAAAAACAGAAACAUCUACGCUCACGAAAUUAAUUUUAUUUUUUACCAGAGAGUGAUAAAAUAAGCAUUCCUAUUGCGGUUGAUCAAUAUACAAAUUGUUCAGGUCGUACUAAUUUUUCAGAAUUUUUGGAGUUAUAGAAGUAUUUGAAAUAGUCAGAUUGCUACAGACUGUUCUGUUUUGACAGAUUCUGUUUUCUUUGUGUUGUGUGCUUAUUUUGAUGGCUCUAUGGUUUUCUUUGAUGAGUUUUUGCCAUAGAAAGGUUGGAAUACAAUAGAUAUAAUACGAAAACAAAAUAUGAAUUUGUGUGAUACAAUACUUAUAGUAGUGAUUUAUUAUUCUUAUACCAACGAAUCCCACGAAGGUUUUGUUGAGUUUUGUGUGAUUGAAGUUUUCAAGUUUUGGGUUAUCUUACGAUGGAUGAAGGAAUGAUGGAAGAGCCUAAGUUUGGGGAUGCCCAGUAUUCCCAAGCUAUUAUCCAAAUAUGAGCAACCAUCUAAGCUUGGGUAUGCCCUCGAGUGGCAUCCCCGCUUUCUUCCAACAAUCAUCGGUAUUUUACUUGAAACUGUAUUUUUAUUCGUCACAUGAUAUGUGUUCUGCUUGGAGCGUCUUGUAUGAUAUGAGUCUUUGCUUGUUUUAUUUUGUGCUUAUGUCAUCAAUCCUUGCUGUACACACCUAUUUGAGAGAGCCAAAAUUAUGUCAUGACUUGUUAGAAUUGCUCUCUAUGCUUCACUUAAAUUUUUAUGAGCAAUGGACUUACUCUAGUGCUUUACUUAUAUCUUUUUGAGCACGGUGUGCUUUAGUAUUUUUUAAUAAAUGCUCUCUUGCUUCACUUAGAUUUAUUUGAGAGUUGGUAAAAUUUUCAAGAAAUUGUCUCUUGCUUCACUUAAAUUAAUUUGAGAGAAAGAAAAAUAUGUUAUGAUCAUGAUCUUCACUUAUAUUUGUUGGAGCUUGUCAAAAGCAAUGCAUGAAAUUUAGUCCCAAAGUGAUAGAUAUCCAAGAAGGAUAUAAUAAAAACUUUCAUGAAGAUCAUUGGACAAAAUAAACUUGAUUCUUAGUAAUAGUUUUGAGAUAUGAUGGUGUGAUAUGUGAGUUAUGUUGGUGAGUAAUUAUGAUUUAGUAAGAAUAUUGGUGUUAAGGUUUGUGAUUCCAUAUGCAAGUACGAAAGUCAAUAGUCAUGCAAUGAAAUUAUAUCCUACCUAUGGUGCAUGAUUCGGUGUUAAUUAUGCUUAAUGCUUGCUUAUGAGAUUAUUCGUUUCUUAGUUGGUCGCUUCCCAAUCUUUUGCUAGCCUUCAUUUUGCACUAAGUAUGAUCACUAGUUGUGCAUCCAAAAACCUUUAACCCAAUUUUUCCACAUGAGUCCACUAUAUCUACCUAUAUGCGGUAUUCUUUUGCUAUUCUAAGCAAAUUUGCAUGUGCCAUCUCUAAUUUUCAAAAUAAACAUCUCUUUUGUGUGUUUGUUUCGCUCGCGGAGCGGUGAGGGGUGGCUAAUAUUUUCCAUGCUAGAUGUAUUGUUCUCAAGAUGAGUGUUUAUUCACUUUUCAUUGCACGAGAGUAAGGAAAAGGUAUUAGGGAUACCCAGUCCCGAAAUACAAAAAAAUGAAUUUACUUUAUAUUGUCAAAUAAUAAAUUCCUUAGAAAGUGUUGGUAUGGAGGGCACCCGUGGAUACGGUUAGCCAUGGAAAGUGAAAGUAUGGUGGAAAAAGGAAUAAACUUUAUUUUCUGUUUGGGAACCGCCUAUGAUAUAACUAUGCAUGGAAAGUAUUGGGCACUCUAAGUCCUUUUUGUUGGUGUGAUGGAUACACCUCUCAAAAUGGUUGCAUCUCUAUUUUUUUUCUCUUUGAGCUAUGGCACCUCUACAAAUCCCUACUUCCCUCUGUGAAGGGCCUUUCUUUUACUUUAUGCAAUUUUUAUUUUGAGUAUCCAUCUUCUCUUAUAAAAGCACCAACUAGGAGGCAAUAUGAUCGUACUUAAGUAUUGGAUGUAGCUAAUAUUGGAGUGUGUUUCAUGAAUGGAUCAAUGUUUGAGCAUGAUGGGUUAGGGAUAACUUAUUUUGGCGUUGAUAUUUUGAAAGACAUGGUUGCUUGUUGGUAUGCAUGAGUAUCUAAAUUAUCAUGUCCGAACUAGACUAUUACUUUGAACAACUAAAAGUCCAAUUGUCCAUGCUAUAAAGAAAACAAUAUGAUAUGACAUCAUAGGCGGCAUUCCACAUCAAAAAUUCUAUUUUUAUCACUUACCUACUCGAGGACGAGUAUGAGUUAAGCUUAGGGAUGCUAAUACGUCCCCAACGUAUCUAUAAUAUUUGAUUGUUCCAUGCUGUUAUAUUAUCAAUCUUGGUUAUUUUAUAAUCAUUUUGUCAUCAUUUUAUAUCAUUUUUUGGAAACCUACUGACAUAGUGCCAAGUGCCAGUUCCUAUUUUUUCCGUGUUUUUUACAUCGCAGAAAAUCAAUAUCAGAUGGAGUCCAAGUACCAUGAAACUUUGCAGAGAAUUUUUAUGGUCCAAAAGGAAAACAACAGGGCCUGGCUGCGCCCGGGGGGUUCCCCUAGGGGGGCACAAACAACCAGGGCGCGCCAGGAGGCCCAGGCACGCCCUAGUGGGUUGUGCCCACCUAGGGUGCCCCCGGACCGCCUCUUUACUCUAUAAAUACCCCAAAAAUCCCAGAACCCUAGGGGAGUCGACGAAAUAUUUAUCCAGCCGCCACGGAGUCUAGAACCACUAGAUCCAAUCUAGACACCAUCUCGGAUGGGGUUCACCACCUCCAUUGGUUCCUCUCUGAUGAUGCGUGAGUAGUUCUUUGUAGACCAUCGGGAUCGUAGUUAGUAGCUAGAUGGCUUCACCUCUCUCUCUUGAUUCUCAAUACAAUGGUCUCUUGGAGAUCCAUAUGAUGUAAAUCUUUUGCGGUGUGUUUGUUGGGAUUCGAUGAACUUUGACUUUAUGAUCAGAUCUAUCUUUUUAUAUCCAUGAAAGUUAUUUGAGUUUCUUUGAUCUCUUAUAUGCAUGAUUACUUAUAGCCUCUUAUUUCUUCUCUGCUAUUUAGGUUUUGUUUGGCCAACUUGAUCUAUUUAUCUUGCAAUGGGAAGAUGUGCUUUGUAGUGGGUUCGAUCUUACGGUGCUUGAUCCCAGUGACAGAAAGGGAAACAACACGUAUGUAUCAUUGCUACUAGGGAUAAAAUGAUGGGGUCUAUCUCUACAUAGAUAGAUCUUGUCUCCAUCAUGUCAUCAUUCUUAUUGCAUUACUCCAUUUCCCCAUGAACUUAAUAAACUAGAUGCAUGCUGGAUAGUGGUCGAUGUGUGGAGUAAUAGUAGUAGAUGCAGGCAGAAGUCGGUGUACUAAUCUUGGACAGGCUGCCUAUAUAAUGAUCAUUGCGUGGAUAUCGUCAUAAUUAUUCGAGGUUCUAUCAAUUGCCCAACAGUAAUUUUUUCACCCACUAUUUGCUAUUUUUCUCGAGAGAAGCCACUAGUGAAACCUACGGCCCCCGGGUCUUCUUUCUCAUAUAUUUGCCUUUGCGAUCUACUUUUAUUUGCUUUUAUUUUCAGAUCUACUAAACCAAAAACCCAAAAAUACGUUGCUGCACUUUAUUUUAUUCAUGAUCCAUUUAUUCAAUCUAUUACAACUUUCUCCCAUCAUCGCACCAAUUUUUGGCACCAUUACCCGAAAGGGAUUGACAACCCCUUUAACACGUCGGGUUGCGAGGAUUUGUUAUCUGUGUGCAGGGGUUGUUUAUGUUGUGUUCCUUGGUUCUCCUACUGGUUCGAUAACCUUUGUUUCAUAUCUAAGGGAAAUACCUACCGCCGUUGUGCUGCAUCAUUCCUUCCUCUUUGGGGAAAUACCGACAUAGCUUCUAGCGACAUCAAGAGACAUCAUAGAUUGCACCAUAUGUAAUAAAGUACAAUCACGACAUUCAGACACACCAUUACAUUGUGGUGUUCCAGGUGGCGUGAGUUGUGAAACUAUUCCACAUUGUUUUUAAAUGAAGGCCAAACUCAUAACUCAAAUAUUUGCCUCCGUGAUCAGAUCGUAGAAACUUUAUUUUCUUGUUACGAUGAUUCUCCAGUUCACUCUGAAAUUCUUUGAACUUGUUCAAAUGUUUCUGACUUGUGUUUCAUUAAAUAGAUAUACCCAUAUCCGCUCAAAUCAUCUGUGAAGGUCAGAAAAUAACGAUACCCGCCGCGUGCCUCAACACUCAUUGAACCGCAUACAUCGGUAUCUAUUAUUUCCAAUAAGUAAUUAGCUCGCUCCAUUGUUCUGGACAACGGAGUUUUAGUCAUCUUGCCCAUGAGGCAUGGUUCACAAGUAUCAAAUGAUUCAUAAUCAAGUGAUUCAGAAAGUGCAUCUGCAUGGAGUUUCUUCAUGCGCUUUACACCAAUACGACAUAAAUGGCAGUGCCACAAAUAUGUUGCACUAUCAUUAUCAACUUUGCAUCUUUUGGCAUCAAUAUUAUGAAUAUGUGUAUUGCUAUGAUCAAGAUUCAAUAAACCAUUUAUACUGGGUGUAUGACCAUAGAAGGUUUUGUUCAUGUAAACAGAACAACAAUUAUUAUCUGACUUAAUGAAUAACCGUAUUGCAAUAAACAUGAUCCAAUCAUAUUCAUGCUCAAUGCAAACACCACAUAACAUUUAUUUAGGUAGAGGGAGUGUGUGAUGGUGAUCUAAUCAACCUUGGAAUAACUUCCAACAUACGUCAUCACCUCGCCCUUAACUAGUCUUUGUUCAUUCUGUAACUUCUUUUUCGAGUUAUUAAUCUUAGCAAUUGAACUAGUAUCAAAUACCCAGGUGCUACUACGAACACUAGUAACAUACACAUCAAUAAUCUGUAUACCAAAUAUACUUUGUUCACUUUUCCAUCCUUCUUAUGUGCCAAAUGUUUGGAGCAGUUCCACUUCCAUUGACCAUUUCCCUCAGUUUCAGGCUUGGGUCCAGCUUUGGGCUUCUUCACGGGAGUGGCAAGUUGCUUGCCAUUCUUCUUGAAGUUCCCUCUCUUUCCCUUUCCCUUUUUUGAAACUAGUGGUCUUGUUAACCAUCAACAGUUGAUCCUCUUCCUUGAUUUCUACCUUCGCCGAUUUCAGCAUCGCGAAGAGCUUGGGAAUCAUUUUUGUCAUCCUUUGCAUAUUAUAGUUCAUCAUGAAGCUCUAGUAUCUUGGUAAUAGUGACUAGAGAACUUUGUCAAUCACUAUCAUAUCUGGAAGAUUAACUCCCACUUGAUUCAAGUGAUUGUAGUACCCAGACAUCCUGAGUACAUGCUCACUGGCUGAGCUAUUCUCCUCCAUCUUGUAGGCAAAGUACUUGUCAGAGGUCUCAUACCUCUCGACACGGGCGUGAAUAUGAAAUACCAAUUUUUAGCUCUUAGAACCUCUCAUAUGCUCUGUGGCGUUAAAAACAUUUUUGAAGUCCCGGUUCUAAGAUAUAAAGCAUGGCGCACUAAACUAUCAAGUAGUCAUCAUACCGAGCUUGUCAAAUGUUCAUAACAUUUGCAUCUGCUCCUACAAUAGGUCUGUCACCUAGCGGUGCAUCGAGGACAUAAUUCUUGUGUGCAGCAAUGAGGAUAAUCCUUAGAUCACGGACCCAGUCCGCAUCAUUGCUACUAUCAUAUUUCAACUUAGUUUUCUCUAGGAACAUAUAAAAAAUAAAACAAGAGAGCUAUACGUGAGCUAUACAACAUAGAUAUGCAAAUACUAUCAGGACUAAGUUCAUGAUAAAUUAAGUUCAGUUAAUCAAAUUACUUAAGAACUCCCACUUAGAUAGACAUCCCUCAAGUCAUCUAAAUGAUACGUGAUCCAAAUCAACUAAACCAUGUCCGAUCAUCACGUGAGAUGGAGUAGUCAUCAAUGGUGAACAUCAUGCUGAUCAUAUCUACUAUAUGAUUCAGGUUCGACCUUUCGGGCUCCAGUGUUCCGAGGCCAUGUCCGUACAUGGCAGGCUUGUCAAGUUUAACCCGAUUAUUCCGCAUGUGCAAAACUGCCUUGCACCCGUUGUAUGUGAACGUACAGUCUAUCACACCCGAUUAUCACGUGGUGUCUCGACACGACGAACUGUCGCAAUGGUGCAUACUCAGGGAGAACACUUAUACCUUGAAAUUUUAGUUAAGGGAUCAUCUUAUAAUGCUACCACCGUACUAAACGAAAUAAGAUGCAUAAAAGAUAAAUAUCACAUGCAAUCAAAAAAUGUGACAUGAUAUGGCCAUCAUCAUCUUGUGCUUUUGAUUUCCAUCUCCAAAGCAUUGUCAUGAUCUCCAUCGUCACCCGCUCGACACCUUGAUCUCCAUCAUAGCGUUGUGGUCAUCUUGCCAACUAUUGCUUCUACAACUAUCCCUAACGCAUAGUGAUAAAGUAACGCAAUUACAUGGCAUUUGCAUUUCAUACAAUAAAGAGACAACCAUAAGGCUCCUGCCGGUUGCUAGAUAUCCUACAAAACAUGAUCAUCUCAUACAAUAACAUUUAUCACAUCAUGUCUUGACCAUAUCACAUCACAACAUGCCCUGCAAAAACAAGUUAGGCAUCCUCUACUUUGUUGUUGCAAGUUUUAUGUGGCUGCUAUGGGCUUCUAGCAAGAACCGUUCUUACCUACGCAUCAAAACCACAACGGUGAUUUAUCAAGUUUGCUGUUUUAACCUUCAACAAUGACCGGCCAUAGUCAAAUUCAAUUCAACUAAAGUAGGAGAAACAGACACCCGCCAACCACCUUUAUGCAAAACUAGUUGCAUGUCUGUCAGUGGAACCAGUCUCAUGAACGUGGUCAUGUAAGGUUGGUCCGGGCCGCUUCAUCCAACAAUACAGCCGAAACAAAAUAAGACAUUGGUGGUAAGCAGUAUGACGACCACCGCCCACAACUCUUUGUGUUCUACUCAUUCAUAUCAUCUACACAUAGACCUGGCUCGGAUGCCACUUUUGGGAAAUGUAGCAUGCAAUUUCAAAAAAUCCUACGCUCAUGCAAGAUCUAUCUAGGAGAUGCAUAGCAACAAGAGAGGGAGAUUGUGACCACGUACCCUCGUAGACCAAAAGCAGAAGCGUUUGACAACGCGGUCGAUGUAGUCGAACUUCUUAUAGAUCCGACCGAUCAAGCACCAAACUCCGAGUUCUGCACACAUUCAGCUUGAUGAUGUCCCUCGUCCUAUUGAUCCAGCAAAGGUGCUGAGGAAGAAGAUGAGUUCCGUUAGCACAAUAGCGUGGUGAUGGUGAUGGUGAAGUGAUCCGCGUAGGGCUUCGCCUAAGCACUACGAAGAUAUGACCGGAGGCGUAAACUAUGGAGGGGGCGCCACACACGGCUAACAAUUGUUGGUGUGUAUUCUAGGCGCCCCCUCCCCAUAUAUAUAUAUAUAUAGGUGGGAGGGAGAGAGGAUCCUCCCCCAAUUCGGCCACCCCCUUUCCUUAUUUUCGAAGAGAAAGAGGGAAGGGGGAAGGGAGAAAGGAAAGGGGGGGCAAACCCCCGUUGCUCCUUCUCCAAUUCGGCCACAUGCCUAAGGGGUCGCGCCACCCCUUGUGGGCUGGUGUGCUCCCCUCUUAUGGCCCAUAUGGCCCAUAUCUCCCCCUGGUAUUCCGAUAAAUACCCGAUAUGAUCCGAAACACUUCUGGUAUCAGAAUACUAUCAUCCUAUGUAUCAAUAUAUACUUAUCGACCAUUUCGAGACUCCUCGUCAUGUCCAUGAUCUCAUCCGGGACUCCGAACAACAUUUGGUCACCAAAUCACAUAACUUAUAUAAUACUAAAUUGUCAUCAAACGUAAAGCAUGCGAACCCUACGGGUUAGAGAACUAUGUAGACAUGACAGAGACACCUCUCCGAUAAAUAACCAAUAGCGGAACCUAGAUGCUCAUAUUGGCUCCUACAUAUUCUAUGAAGAUCUUUAUCGGUCGAACCGUUAUGACAACAUACGUUAUUCCCUUUGUCAACGGUGUGUUACUUGCCCGAGAUUUGAUCGAGGUAUCUUCAUACCUAGUUCAAUCUCGUUACCGGCAAGUCUCUUUACUCAUUCCAUAAUACAUCAUCCCACAACUAACUCAUUAGUAACUUUGCUUGCAAGGCUUCUUAUGAUGUGCAUUACCGAGAGGGCCCAGAGAUACCUCUCCGAUACUCGGAGUGACAAAUCCAAAUCUUGAUCUAUGCUAACCCAAAAAACACCUUCGGGGAUACCUAUAGAGCAUCUUUAUAAUCACCCAGUUACGUUGUGAUGUUUGAUAGCACACAAGGUAUUCCUCCGGUACCCGAGAGUUGCAUAAUCUCAUAGUCAAAGGAAUAUGUAUUUGACAUGAAGAAAGAAAUAGCAAUAAAACUGAACGAUCAAUAUGCUAAGCUAACUGUCGGGGAAAACAGACAGGGGUAUGUAUUUUCCCCUAACUCGUGCAUAGAGGAGCCAAGGCCUUGCCGAGGUAUGAGGAACCAAGAGCUUCAGAGGACCAACAUGUGGAUCAAGAGGACCAAGAUCAAGCUAGAGAAGCAAGGCACCACCAGGAGAAAAGCCUCCCUUGCCAGGCAGGCGAGCUCGGCAAGGGGCGAGGCCACCCCCGGAAGAAGACGUCCAAGGUGUCCCGGCAGGGCCUGCCAGGACACACGGAAGCAAAACCACCUGACCAACUACUCCGCCACGAGCCACAUCGUCAAUUAGUGCGGCGUCAAGCCGCAAAGUGACUAAGCGGCAGCCAUUCGCCACAUGGUAGCCUCUCCCUACAUGAAAUACCUCCAGAUGACACUCGUCCUGCGAUGUGUCGAGCGAGCAGGCGUGGAGCUGGCGAGAUAGCCCGGCAAGCCUUACCGGGCAACCAACAAUGUGACACUGAGUGGUGCAUUUAAUGCACCUUGUCAGCCAGCAGAGUUAGGUAUGAUAGCACUGUUAGCUAUCUUAUCAGUGCAUAAUGACUGCUUUGCCAUUGUGGUAACCCCUUGAUCUAUGAAAGGAGGCCCAUGGAAACCGUAGAAAGGGUUAGAAGGUUGGAUAACUCACACCCCCAUACUCGCGUGGCCACUGCCGCCCUGAGGCAACACCUGUCGGGCAAGUGUACUAUGCUCCACCACCACCUUUCCACCAUCAAUCCACGAAAGCAGGAGUAGGGUUUUACGCAUCGUGGCGGCCUAAACCUAGGUAAAAAUGCCUGCAUGAUCUCUGUCGUGCUACCCCAUGCUCGUCUGCUCUUUGUGCAACGCGAUGCCCUCCUGCUGAACCAGCAAGCGGCCAUCUAGUCCCAUAGGUGGCCAUGGUUUCCUAUGACAUCUUUGGUGCCCUAGGUAGGGGGACCACUUGCGCGAACCUGAAGGUGUGUGCAAUGCACUCUAUCCGUGGUCGUCCACUCAAAGCUUAUGGCAUUUGCGGUGCCCUUGAAGACACGGAAACUAAGCGGGGUCAUCCCCGUGCCACAUUGCUCGCCUCCGUGCCUCGUCGCAGCCACGGCUGUGAUGAAGAUCUCCCUAGAGAUAAUAUGCCCGCCUCGGUGGCCCAUAUGGCUUAACUGCCAUUCGGGCACCGUCUGGGGAAAGGGGACAAGAUAUGCUGGAGCAAGCUCCCUCAUCCCCGUCUCUUCCCUUUGUUAGCAGUCAAGCCGCUUUAGCCAUGGCGUCGUCAAUGUCGAUGAUUACCGCGACGCUCGGUCUAGAAUUACCCCCAAUUCAGGAAAUCCUGAGUAAAGCGCUGGUAUGAAUCUGCUGGUUGAUGCCUCGCAAGCACGGCUCAGCGAGGCUGACUGCAUUGGCAUGAUCCAUGUGACGAUAGCCGCCCAGCUGACUUGAAGAAAAGGGGAAGUAAAAAGGGGGGACUAGAGGAGCCUGGCGCUGUACUCCGAGGCCUGCUAGCCGCACGAGACACGUGUCGGUCCCUGCCAGGAGCAAAGAAACUGCCUGCUCGGCUUCCACUCCUAUGGGCGUCGCUAGCGCACCAAGCGCAUGUGGCCCGGCAGAGGAGAAUGAAGCCUAAAACAAAAGCCAAGUCUAGAUUAUCGCUUCUCGUUGAUGCAACUUUGGGUUUUCAUGGUUGUUUAUCCCUUGACUUUAGUGAGUGUUCAUAUCGUGAAAACCCUCAUGCGAUGGAACCUUGGUUAGUUUCUUUGAUCUCUCCAUCAACCUGUCCCGAGCCAGCAUUGCAGGUUGAGAGGCUGUGUCAAGAACUACCUAGGAAAAACCUGUCGGGACGCAUCCACGCCAAAAUGACUGUUAAGGGCUAGACCCUUACGACAAUCACGGCAAUAUAAUAUAGGCAGGCAUCCAGAGCAGAUAUAGGGUUGGAUCAUACGAACACAAACAUACAAAGCUCAAUGAGAUAAACACACAUUUAAAGAUUUAACAGAAGAUAUCAGUUCCAUGUGAACACUAGAGACAAAGAGACUAAACACAAUAGUACACGUCAUGUUUCAUUACAGGGAGACGCGGGAGCAACAACGACCCGAUACUGGUCUAGGCACCAGGUGAAGCUGUUCAGACUUGAAGGACCAUGUCGGCCCUGGGAGUGGAUUUCUCCUUGUGGGUUGCGACAUAAGCGCCCAUUGGCGGCUUCUUGAAUCCAUCGGCAAGGUCGAGGUCUGGAUGGCAGCAGGCAAUAUUGCUCUAGACCAUGAAGAGGGCAUCGCGGGCAAGCCUCCGGGACUCGGUUGCGAAGCGCUUGGCCCUUCCCUCCUCAGGGACCUUCAACUUCUUGAUCAGCUCGUUGAAGAAGACUCCCAGCUUGAUGCUUGGGACCUCUUGCUUGCUGGUCGAGAAGACUGGGCCAUCCAUGCCCAUCACCGCAACUUGGGCGCCGGGGCGCUCGGUGAUGUUGAUCAGGCUCUUGAUCCAGAGGUUGACCUUCUCGGACUGAUUCUUCAGCUUGUCCUCUGCAUCCUGCCAGAGACACUUGGCGGUGUCCAGAACCUUGGUCAGCAGCUGUUCGCAGGACUCACGGGACUCAGCCAUGCUUUCCAAGGUGUCGAUCCUGGCCUUCAGGUCCCUAAUGGUGCCAUUGGCAGUGUCAAGGCUCUGGGUAUUGGAGGAGAGCUGUGAUUGGGCAUCAGUCAAGAGGACCCCCGCCUUCCGUGCUUCUUCCUUGAGUGUCUCCACCUCCUUGACGCUCCCGGCAAGGUCCUCAUUCAGCUUAACCACCUGCCGGUCGAGAUCAAUUUUGGCGGCGGAUGCGACAACCAUAUCUUUAGUGAGCUUCUUCAGCUAAGCAGUAGAAUCAGUGGCAAGGGUAUCCAGUCCAGCUUUAUGCUUGUCAUCCAAUUCCUUGGUGCAUUGUUGCACAAGAGCCUCAAAUCUUCAUCCUUGGCGCGGAGAGUGGCUUUGAUUUUCUAUUCUUGGAGGGAGAUCUCUUGCUCUCUGGCGUCUAGAGAUGUCUUGCGGUCCGCCAGGCACGCCUCACGGGCCAUGACAUCCUCCCCCGUCAUCAGGAGCGUCUCUUGCUGCCUCGUGAGCACCUUGAAUUGCUUGUCGUGCCAUUAGCGCAGCUCCAAGCAUUUGUUCUUCAUCUUCUGGUCCAUCCUGCCGGCGGACUCGCGCCGCUCCUUGAGCUCCUUCCACUUUUGAUUGUGCCAGGCCUGCAUCUCCUUCACGCCCGCCACCAUAGAAUCCAUGAAAGACAAAUCCAUUGUGAUCGCGGUUGAGUCGUCGGCCUCUCCAGCUCCUAGGUACAGCGAUGUCAGGAGGCAUUGAAGCUCUUCAUCGAGCUCUGCGUCCGUUGUCAAAGACAGUCCAGGGCUUCGGUUUCAGCCAACGACAACACCAUGGCCAGCGUGUCUAAGGAGGGCGGAGGAGCCUCGAUGACGAUCGCAGAGGAGGGGAGUGGAUCUAUAGUUUGGAGGGGGAUCUUCACCUCAACCACUAUUUUCUCUUCCCAGGCGUCCUCCGAAGAGUGCUCCACCACGGCCAGGGAGCCCUGGACUAGGGGGUCCUCAGGCAUCCAGACUAUGGUACGUGGGCCGGACUGAUGGGCUGUAAAGAUACCAGACCGAAGAUUAUCUCCCGUGUCCGGACGGGACUAUCCUUGGCAUGGAAGGCAAGUUUGGCGUACCAAUAUGAAGAUUCCUUUCUCUGUAACCGACUUCGUACAACCCUAGUCCCCUCUAUUGUCUAUAUAAACCGGAGGGCUUAGUCCGUAGAGGACAAGAAGAAGAAGAAUCAUAAUCAAAUAUGCUAGACUUCUAGGGUUUUAGCCAUUACAAUCUCGUGGUAGAUCAACUCUUGUAACCCCCAUACUCAUCAAUAUUAAUCUAGCAGGACGUAGGGUUUUACCUCCAUCGAGAGGGCCCGAACCUGGGUAAACAUUGUGUUCCCUGUCUCCUGUUACCAUCAACCUCAGACGCACAAUUCGGGACACCCUACCCGAGAUCCGCCGGUUUUUACACCGACAUUGGUGCUUUCAAUGAGAGUUCCGUUGUGUCGUCAUCAGGAGGUUCGAUGGCCCCGUCAAUCAUCUACAACAACGUUGUCCAGGGAGAAACCUUCCUCCCCGGACAGAUCUUUGUAUUCGGCGGCUUUGCACUGCAGGCCAACUCGUGUGGCCAUCUAGAGCAGAUCGAUAGCUAUGCCCCUGGCCGUCAGGUCAGAUUUGGAAGCUUGAACUACGCCGCGGAUAUCCGUGGAGACUUGAUCUUUGACUGAUUCGAGACCAUGGCAGUCGCUCCCUACCACCAUGAUGAACAUGACUUAAAUCUAUCAUGGGACCAUGCCCAGGGGAUAGCGCCUAUAACUGCUCCGGCCCUGGAUCCGGGGCAGAUUGCGCCAUCGGAGGACGGGAGGCUCAACCCUGCCACGGAAAUCACAGACUCAGCGGCAUCAGAGCCGCACACUGACCCAACCCCGAGUGGGAUCCGUGUCACCGGAACCCCGGACCCCUUUCCGGCUACAAGUUCUGAACCAUGUGCGUCCGCGCACGACGAGCUUGAUCAGGCAUCGAUCGUUGAAUUCGGCUCCGCAGACAUCUUCCAACACUCGCCUUUAGGAGACGUGCUAAACUCAUUAAAAACACUCUCCUUAGCGGGGUACUCACAACCGAAUUAUACUGGUUCGAAUAGGAGGCCGAUGAUGGAGAAUUUUGCUUCCCAAGCCCCGCCCACUUAAUAGCCAAUGUCGAAGACUUAACUGACAUGCUCGAGGUUCCGACGACAUCGACAGUAUGGACGACGAUGCCGGAGAAGAAGGCCAAAACCCACCAUUUACUGGAUGCUGGACGGCCACUUCGUCGUAUGACGUAUACAUGGUGGAUGCACCAAAAGAGAAUACCGGCGAUGACAAGGAAGAUCUAGUUGAGGAUAAACCCUCCCGAGAUACAACCAAAGCGCUGGCGUUAGCGACGGUGCUCUAAGUCACGCCGCAGCAAAGACAGCAACACUGGCAUAGGAGAAGAGAACACUCUGGACGGUGCCGAAUACAAUGAAGACCCCGUUGAGACAACUUCCGAACAAGAUGAACGGGAAGACGGGCAAGUUAGCCCUGAUGAACGAGCCACGCAUGAAGACUCGGAGGAUAGUAAUUAUGUUCCGCUCUCCGAGGAUGAGGCGAGCAUCGGCACCGAGGAUUUUAUGGUGCCCGAGGAACCUCUCGAGAAGGAGCGCUUCAAGCGCCAGCUAAUAGCCACUGCAAUGAGCCUGAAAAACAAACAGCAACAGCUUCAAGCUGAUUAAGAUCUGCUCAAUGAUAGAUUGAGUGAUGUCCUGGCAGCCGAGGAAUACAGCCUCAAGCGCCCAACCAAAAGUUACCCGAAGCGCAAAUUGCUACCUCAGUUCGAUGACGAGGCGUUGGAGCCCGUACCAUCAUCGCGCAAUGUGGCUGACCGACUAGCACGUGGUCGGGAUAAAGCAGCAGCUCAAGCCGAACACUAGCCUGUCCUACCUCACCGUAAAGGCAGAGAUAAAACAGCUCGAGGACACACAUAUGACCUACGGCAGGACUUGGACAAUAGAGCAGGUCAGAACAGAUCGAUCUAUGGAUCACGGGGACGUGCCCCAACACGCGAUAACGGCUAUAUAGCCGGACACAAUAGUCACUCUCACGCCCGUGCUGAGAACUGCAGACGGACUCCAUCCAAGCUACGUCGUGACGUGGCCUGAUAUAGAAGCGCCGCUCACCCACUUUGCUUCACCGACGAAGUAAUGGAGCAUGAACUCCCAGAAGGGUUUAAACCCGUAAACAUCGAAUCAUAUGAUGGGACAACAGACCCCGCGGUAUGGAUCGAGGAAUUUCUUCUUCACAUUCAUAUGGCCCGCGGUGAUGAUCUCCAUGCCAUCGAAUACCUCCCACUAAAACUCAAAGGACCAGCCGGCACUGGUUGAACAGUCUGCCUGAAAACUCCAUUGGCAACUGGGAGGACUUGGAAUAGGCCUUCCUUGACAACUUCCAAGGUACAUACGUUCGACCUCCGGAUGCUGAUGACUUAAGUCACAUAAUUCAACAGCCCGGAGAGUCAGCCAGGAAACUUUGGACUAGGUUCUUCACUAAAAAGAACCAGAUCAUCGAUUGUCCGUAUGCCGAAGCCUUGGCGGCCUUUAAACACAGUAUCCGGGACAAAUGGCUCGCCCGACACCUCGGCCAAGAGAAGCCGAAGUCCAUGGCAGCCCUUACGGCACUUAUGACCCGCUUUUGUGCGGGUGAAGAUAGCUGGCUAGCCCAUAGCAAUAACAGUGCAAGCGAACCUGGCACUGCGGAAGCCAAAAAUAGCAAUGGCAAGCCCCGAUGCAACAGACACAAGCAUCGAAACAAUGGUGAUAAUACUGACGACACGAUGGUCAACGCCGGAUUUAGCGGCUCCAAGUCCGGCCAGCGAAAGAAGCCGUUCAAAAGGAAAAAUUCGGGCCCAUCGAGCUUGAACCGCAUACUCGAUUACCCAUGCCAGAUACACGGAAGUCCUGACAAGCCAGCCAAUCACACCAACAGAGACUGUUGGGUUUUUAAACAGGUCGGCAAGUUAAAUGCCGAGAACAAGGAGAAGGUGUCGCAAAGCAAAGACGAUGACGAGGAGCCCCGGCCACCGAACAUAGGGGGACAGAAGAAGUCCCCCCCCCCCCAAGUUAAAGCAGUAAACAUGAUAUACGCAACCCACAUCCCCAAGAGGGAACGCAAGCGCGGGCUCAGGGACAUCUAUGCGAUGGAGCCAGUCGCCCCAAAGUUUAACCCAUGGUCUUCCUGCCUGAUCACUUUUGAUCGCAGGGACCAUCCGACUAGUAUCCGUCAUGGCGGUUCAGCCGCACUAGUCCUUGACCCAAUCAUUGAUGGAUUUCACCUCACGCGAGUCCUCAUGGAUGGUGGUAGCAGCCUGAACCUGCUCUAUCAGGAUACAACGCGCAAAAUGGGCAUUAAUCCAUCAAGAAUUAAGCCCACAAAGACUACCUUUAAAAGGAGUCAUACCAGGUGUAGAGGCCCGCUGUACGGGCUCAAUCACACUAGAGGUUGUCUUCGGAUCUCCGGACAACUUCCAGAGCGAAUAGCUGAUCUUCGAUAUCGUCUCCUUUCGCAGCGGCUAUCAUGCACUGCUCGGACGAACCACAUUUGCACGCUUCAACGCGGUGCCACACUACACUUACCUUAAGCUCAAGAUGCCCGGUCCAAGUGGUGUCAUAACAGUCAAUGGAAACAUGGAAUGCUCCCUCCGCACUGAGGUGCACACCGCUGCGUUAGCAGCAGAAGUACAGAGUGGCCUCCUCAAGCAGAACCUUAAUUCAUCGGCCGAGCUCCCGGACACUGUCAAAUGAGUCUGGACUACUCAGCAGAAGGACAACCCAGCUCGUCAAGAGCUCGAAGAGCAAUUCGGCCUUCUUCCGAGUCCCAACCAAGAAGCAGCAUUCGUACCACGCAUACAUAACUACGCACUCAAAAUACCAUGGGCAUAGACGGAGUCAUAACUACCUUGUUAUCCAUAAUAUGGCUCGACCGCUCCUGGACACACAUACUUUCAAUUUUUCCUUUUUAUCAUUUUUAGGUCUUUUUUCCGCAGGUUUCUUCCGACGACCUGAUCAUCGGUCCUCUCGGCAGGAUGGAUACACCAAGAUGGCAAGAAGCACUGGCGUACAAGGGAAUUCUUAGAUUGUCUCUUUAACGAUCACUCUACUUGCUUUCAGGACCCGCACGCGGCUCUCCCUUGGUCGUGGCAUGUUAAAUAGCCCAGUUGCUUAUCGCACCACUUGUACAAAUACGCUUUGACAUUUUAAUCAAACUAUAAUGGAAACAGUUUGCGGCCCAACUUCUGCGGCACUAGCUUACUACCCUUUUUCCUUUUUCUUUGAUGAUUUUUCUCAAAGUUGCGACCGUACAGUUUGGUACGCUUUAAUCUGUCAGGGGCUUCAUCGCGACCCAUAAUACGGCAACAAAGUACGAACACUUUCUACAACAUAGUUCGGCACCCUGAAUUUAGCAUUAUAUGCAUUGGCUCCGGAUCUUGUCUUUGGUCAAUAGUUGGGUUGCCCGGCUCCUAUGCUUACUACCCUACGUUCUGCUAUAUCGGCUAGGGUAGAAAAGGGAGAACUACUGCGAUUGUGUCAUGGUUUAUCCGGAUGAGCACCUCCGUAGAGAAAGACGAAAACUAAGUGUCAUGAUGCGGCGAGAGCCGGUCAGCUCUUUGGAGGUUUCAAAUCUUUAGCGAUUUUUCCGCAUUAUGCGAUGAAUCGGCUUUUUACCCAAUCAGGUGUUUACAGUACCCUAGUUCGGAUACUAGGGGCUGCGACUAAAUAUUCAUUGUAGAACUCCUAUGGCUAAGUGAGAGUGAUAAAGCCACAUAGUCCGAUUGGCUGGUUUGUUGCGCUAAACACCUCCUUUAAGGACCAAACAAAUUGGAUCAAGAGUGUUUAGAUUCCAUCCCAAACACCCCUGUACUACCUACGUGGGGGUUGAUGCGGACGAUUGGCCAACCCUCAAAAUUUCAUAAACACGGCCACACUGGAGGUAAAAUAUUAAACAAACAUUAUAUCACAUAGCCGAACUUGUUUUUAUAAUACAGGGCGAGACAAUAUAACUGUGUUCAUUCAAAUAUUACAUCCUUCGUACACUGCUCUACCACAAUGCGGGAUCCCUCAAGGACUUCGCAAAAAUAUCACUCGGGCGUGCGGUGCUCCUUGCCGACGGGCGGUCCCUCGGUCGCGAUCGUGGCACCAUUUAUCUUCGCCCAAUGCAUCUUGACAUGGGCGAAGGCCAUUCGCGCACCUUCGAUACAAACCGACCGCUUGAUGCGGCAAGGCGAGGGCAUGCAUUAACUAGCCGUGUCACGAGACCGAAGUAACUGUUGGGUAUAGCUUCGGGUGGCCACAGCCGGACUAUCAAGUCCUUCAUGCCCAGUUUGGCCACCCUAUGCAGUUCUACUAGCUGUUUUAGCUGGUCGCUCAAGGGCACCGAAUGUUCUGGCGCAAGGUAUUGCAACCAGAACAGUUUCUCCGUCGAGCUCCCCUCUUCGGCUCGGAAGAAUUCAGUAGCAUCAGAAAUGAUGCGCGACAGAUCCGCAAACGCCCCUAGAGAACUCCAAAUCCGGGUCAUUAAGAGAUACCUCUUCUUCACAUUCUUGCUUUGCAUAAUAAAAGCCUUACCCGCUGCGAUCUUUUUGGCCUCCUAGAUUUCCUCUUGUUCUUCGGUCCGGGCCUCUUGUGCGCUCUGGCGGGCCUUCUCAAGUUCGGACUCUUGGUCCGCAUGCUGACGCUCCAAGGACUCGUAUUUCUUCAAGGAGUCCUGGUGCUCCUGCUGGACCUCCCCAAACCCUGGCCUCAUGCUUCUCCCGGAUGGCUUGUUCCUUCGCCGCCCUCUCCUCGGACUCGGCCAGUGUUUUCUUGAGGGUUUCAACCUCAGUCUCCGCUCCUACAAACAUCAAGGCACUACAAUCAAUAUACAUAAUUUAUUCUUUCCGAAUAUACAGCAAGUCUCCAUAUACCUUGCUCGUCCUCUAGCUACCUUUUCACAAGGCCGAGCUCUUCUUCGGCCCGCUCCAGACUCUACUUUAGUCUAGAUACCUCAACGGCAUGAGAGGUGGCGGCCAGCAGCGACACCUGUGUUCAUAAGACAUAUUUAGUUAGUUUCCUGCGAAAAUUACUUGAUCCUUUGUCCGGCCUUUCUUUCUGAACACUGGACAAUGUCUCAGGGGCUACACUGUCUAUACUAUGACCUUCUCUUUCGCAUCGCUUACCUCAAAGCCUAUCAGCAAGCUGGUGCAGGCUUCAGUCAGUCCGCUCUUGACAGACUAAACCCUCUCAACCACCAUACCCAUAAGGAUACGGUGUUCCUCCACAAUGGAAGCGCCUCGCAGCGCUUCCAGCAGAUUAUCCGGUGCCUCUGGUUGGACAGAGGUCACCGGUGGAAUAAGCACACCUCCUUCUUUCGAAGGAGGCUGCUUGCUGGAUUUCGGACCUUUAUAGGUCUUUGGAACCGUAUUCGGCUUGGGUCCGAACUGGACACAGCCCCCAUCGCCAGUCUCCAUGGGGGUUCUCUCUCCUAGGUGUCCGACAGCCAAAGGGUCACCCUCUGGCUCCACCCGGAUAGCCUCCUGAACCUCUCCUUGGCCCGGGAAGGUCCUUUGGGACAGCACCUUGUCGUCGCCCUUGGCUGUGGGAGAUUGAGCGUCCAGUGGUGACUCGCUGGCCAUCGCCUUUGAAUCCAGCUGUGACACCCCAAAUUUUUGACCUUGUUUUAUUAAUUAAAAUUUUUGCCAGGAAAUUAAAACUUUUAUUUUCUGGGCUCCCUUUUUAUUUUUGAACCUUUUCCUCCCUCGAUUUAUGAAGUUUUUCCCCAAAGUAAGAACUUUUCAAAUAUGUUAUUGGACUUGUUUAACCUCUCUAGAAAAAACUUUUCUUUUAUUGGUAGAACAAAUUACAUAAUUAAUUUGCUUGACCUUUAUGUUCUUGAAAAAUGGUUCUCCAAGGUUAUAUGGCCAUAAUUGAACUACAACCAUUUGAAAAAUUCACUUAAAAUUUCAACCAAAAUUUGGAGAUGUCAUGUGAUGUUUUUAAAUCACUUUUAUACAAAAAUAUCUUUUAUUCUUGAAAUAUUUUGAGCUCUGCAUCCAAUUUUCUUCUCUGGUCCAGAGUGCAAUUUUGCACUACAACCCAUUUAAAUAUUUCUUUCUAGCCUCCACCAAAAUUAUGGGAUGUUGGUAGUAGCAUAUGAUUCAACAUUAUGCAAAAACCUAGUGCUGUUCUUUGAAAUUUUUGAGAGAAUCAACCUCUUUUCCAUUCUGGUCCAGCCUAGGUGAUUUGCAAAGCAAGUACCUAAUUUCCUUUGAGUUUUGAUCUCAAACCAACUCCUCUGGAUAGUCCUUAGCACCCACAACCUAGGACCAUCAAGAUCCACUCUUCUUCUUUUUAAAAUUUUCAAGUUUCAGCCUCUGCAAGUUUGGACCAGAUUUGUCAAAUUUGGUGAAAUUCAUAUUUUCUCUUCUCCAAAAAUUCUACCAAAAUUCAGGCAGCCUCCUGGUGCAAUGAGAGGCCACUCCACCAAGUUUCAGCUCAAGGAAAAAUCCCUUCAUGCCAAAAGCAUUCUGUCGAACACCUGAACUGCACUGUUUCUUUGCACUUUCAGAAAUUCAGUAAAGUUCAGAGUUUCAGUUUCAUCAGAGUUUGGUCACGCGACCAUAGUGCACCCUGGCGCGAUGCACACGGCCCCAUCCCCUUUGCCAGCACCCCGCACGCGCGCUUGGCGCCUUCCUGGCAUCGGUGGCGCCCUGGCCCGCCUGCGCCGGCGUGUCCCGCGGCGGCAGAGCCACCGUAGCGGCCGACAGGGGGCAACACUGCGGCAUAAUGCCGUUCAGCACUGCCCAAACCUUCUGAGAGCUCCGCGUGGCCACCUCCUUGCCAGCGCAUGCAUGCAGCACCGUCGCCGUGGCCAGGCACGCGCAGAGCGCGUUCUCUACCGCCGGCGUGCCGUGCGGCCGUUCCGUCGAGGGCAGGCCAUAAUCCUCCCUUCCGUGCUGAGUUGGACACUGGGAUGGCACCGCUGAUUCACCUAGACGAUGCUCAAGCCCCUAAGCCGACCGUCCACCCACAGCGCCGCCGUAAUCGCCCGCCGGACUUAUCCGUUCACGGCAACCGCCUCGGGCCGUCUAUAUAUAGCCCCCCCGAGCUUGCUCUUGCCCCCGCACAACUCCACCACCUCGCCAGACCCCGCCUAGCCACUGGAGGAACCUCGAGGAGCCUUUCUUCCUCGACUCCGGCCACCUCCGUCCGCCUCGGGCUCCGGCAACGUUCUCUUCGGUGAGGCCGUCCCCGGCGCCCAGACUCCGUCAAUCACCUCCUCUAGCUACCAGAGGCCUAACCACCUCCUCAAUUUGCCCUUCGCAGCACUCUCCGGCGAGCUCCAUCCACGCCCGAACCACCGUCCGCCGGAGCAGGAGCCACCGCCGACGUGGUGCUCGCCGACCACCACCACCACCACCAACCGACGCGGAGUGACGCCAUGAGCACGUUGGUAACCUCCGAUCCCCCUGCCUCGCCGUAGAUCGCCGCUGGCGAUCGCCGCGGCCCUCUAGCGCCAAAGCACUGCCUCUGUUUUCAAACCCGAUGGGUGGGUCCGCCCUGUCAGCCUUUUAUUCUUUUCGAAUCGUUUUCUGGAAACGCCUUCGGGCAAAAUACGCUUUCUCCACUGAACUGGCGUAUUCGGGACUGAAGCGUUUUCUGAUUUUAUAAAGAGAACCCUGGAAACUUUCUGUUUCAUUACAGAAAAGUCCCUGGAUUAAAACUCUUAUAACUUUUAAAACAGAAAAUGAUUUUUGAUUGAUUCUUUUUCUGUCCUAUUUAAAUUUUUGUCUAGUUUUUAUCAUAUUUAUUUGAAAAAAAUUUCAAACAACUUUUUUUGUGCUGUUUUGAAAUUGUGUGUUAAUUCAAAUUUAUUGAAAAUAGGAUUUUGGAGAGAGGAAGAAAACUUUCAAAAGUUUUGGAGAGCACCCCCACCUCUCCACACCUUGAAGGCAAGCAUCUUGAACCCUGGCAUAAAAUUUUUGAUGUGUUGGUUGACACGAUUAUAACACCACCUUAUUUCGGAAAACUCGUUAUUUUAUGUGAUGAUGCGAUCAUUUGCAUGAAUGCAUAUUAGUGAUUUCCUCGCUGUUCGAAAUGAAUAUACUUGUGAUGGUAAUCAUCCUCAUGUGCCUUGCAUGCAUGCCGGAAAGGAAUCCGGGAAAGCCUCUGCCUUGGGUAGGAGUGAGCUUGUCGCUGGUCCCCGUCGGGACGGUUAUGUCCGGCAUGGCAUAGUAAGGUAUAAUGGGUGGUGAUUUUGUUGGUCGAAAUAUACUUUCUAUACAUGUCAUGCAGGGAAUUUGUAAGCCUCCUGAGUCGGCCAUAGAUCGAGUCUUGUUCCGGUAACCCCCAUACUUGUUUCGUACUGCCACUGGUCCCUACCGUAGGUGGGGUAUGGUUCAGUAAGUUGUUAACCCUUGUCUUGGCACACACCGUACAGAGAGGCCAUGGUGGAAGAUACCGGUUGUAGCUGGUAGGCAUGCCACCUGGUCCGGGGGCAUGGGUGUAUCCGGUUGGGACCGAGAGGGGGGCACCCCUUAGAGCGCGUGAUAGAAAUUUGAUCCCAUGCUACGCGAGGUUGUAGCCUCCCCACUUAGAGUUUUGCUUAACAAGUGUCGUGGGUGAUUCCAGAAACGAGUAAAAGCUGGUGUGUGCAAGUCAGGUGUGUUUUCAAUUAAAAGACCAUAGACGGAAUUAGUCCCGAUGGACUAAAGGAAUCCGUUACUCGUGGGUAAAGAGUACACCCUCUGCAGAGAUAUUAAACCUAUUCGAAUAGCCGUGUCCAUGGUUAAGGAUUACAGUCUGGGAUGGGUCAAGUGUCGGUCUUAGUGUCGGUCUUCGGAGGAGAAACUACUAAACUCGAAUAUUGAUGAUGACAUGUGAUAUAUGAUGGUUAUGAUUGUUAUCAUUAUGGACUAACCGGUUGUAUUGUUUGAAAUAAGGAAUAUCCCUGGGACGGUACCACCUCCUGGAUAUUCACUAUGAUUAUAAGCCCUUUAUGUGGCGUCGCUCGGACGCCCGACUAUGGCAGGUUCGUUAUUUCAUUUAUUUUUUACAAGCCCUUUAUGUGGCGUCGCUCAGACGCUCGACUGUGGCAGGUUCGUUAUUUCAUUUAUCUUUACAAGCCCUUUAUGUCGUGUCGCUCAGACGCCCGACUGUGGCAUGUGGUUACUUCAUUUACUCAUAAGCCCUUUAUGCGGCGUCGCACAGACGCCCGACUGCGGCAUGUUUGUUAUUUCAUUUUCUUAUAAGCCCUUUAUGUGGCGUCGCUCAGACGCCCAACUGUGGCAUGCUUGUUAUUUUAUUUACUUUAUAAGCCCCUUACGUGGUGUCGCUAAGACGCCCGACUGAGGCAUGCUCACUUUUACCAUCCUUUCGAGAUGUCGCUUCAGACAUCCGAUCGGUGCAUUUUAUUUCUAUUCUGUCAUUGCAUAUUACGGUUGCAUAUAAAUAACCUGCUUGCAUCAAGAUUUUUUUUAUGACUGAUGAUGUGAUCAUAGAAUAUUUCAGUACAUGUUGAUCAAUUAUAUUAUACCUGUGUUCUUAAUGUUUGCGAGUACAUUCAAAGUACUCACUGGCUUGUCCCUGGCUAUUGUCUUGGCCAGAUUGCUUGCUUGGAGAGGAGCAUGGCGAUGACAGCCUCGGGACCUAAGCAACGGUGAUAGCAGCCUCGCGAAGAUAGGAGUUAACCUGGUCAGCUGUUCCUGUGGGAAAUGGAGUCCCAUAGACCGUGGUGAUCCACAAACCGCUUCCGCCCUCAACCACUAGAAACCAUUUGAUGUACUCAUAGGCCACAAUGGUCUUGUACUAUAUAUUUUGCACUUUUGCUUGGAAUUUCUGUAACAAGUUGGUGCCUCAUCAGCUAACAGAAAUCCUGGGGCUGGUGAGCACAACGGCCCUUUUCUGGAAUUUAAUGCCCGGAAAACCGGUCGUGACACCAGCGAACCUCCUGAUGAGGAUAGCAGGGAGCUGACGUGGGCCAGACUACAAGCGCAUGAUUUAACGCGUUAAAACUACGAACCGAAGAGUCUGAAUAUAUGAAUAUGUUAGAGUCUUUUGAAUACUCACGAUGCAGCCAGGGGCUUGUUUCAGCACGGCAGCUCUGGGCUACUGUCGACGUCCCACACAGAGUUAUCCGCGAGGGAGCUCUUCCCCCUCUUGGAUGCCUCUGCCUCCAGAUUUGUGGAGGCUGCCCUCUUCUUCUUUCCCCCUCAGGGGGAGAGCUGCUUUCCUCUCGUCCUCAUCGUCGUCUUCGCCGGCGGAGGAGGGAGUCUCGUUGUCUUCAGACAUCCAUUCCAAAGCUCCUUUGCGACGGAGGCCACUCCGGGCCCCCUUGGCCUUCUUCUUGGCCUUCUUCUCCGACUCCUAGUAAGGCGCCGGAACCAGCAUCUUCGUUAGAAGAGGGACGGUUGGUUCCUAUCAGGACCCCGAUUCCAAGUCACAUCUUUCUAGCUGGUAACACCUCAUAUCACUUUGCGGCCUCACGCACGGUAUCCCCACGGGUGUCGCCUUACCAUGGCCCGGGACCGUUUGCACCUUUUGGCUUACGUAUAUGAUAGUGUCGCUAGCAUCCAUAUGAUAGAGAACCCGGGCCGACAUGCCUAGUCAUGAACCCAAAGUGGCACAAACCUAUGGGGACAGGCAUAUAUGAAUCACAUUGAGCAUGUCGGUCAACAGCGUGUGAAUCCGGGCUGUAUCACUGGGCUAACAGGACUCCGAAGAACCCGGUCUGUAGCAGGCUAGGCAGGACUCCGGAUGCCACCGUGUGACAUUUCCCCGAAGGGACAGACAUAGGAACAAAGUGAAAUACAUGCCGGCCAGUCAAGUGUCCUGAGCAGUAGUGCUGGGCUAGCAGGACUCCGGUGAACCGGGCUGUAGCGGACUAUGGCUCAAGGAGGCACUAGACUACAUUUCCCCAUAAGAGAGGCUGCCAAGGAUAAACAACUAGAUUGUCGGAUCCCACACAUACCAAGCAUUUCAAUCAUACACACAAUAUGCUCGAUAUGUGUAAAUACAACAUGGCAUCACAACAAAACUUUACAACUCAAGUACUUUAUUUAAAGGCUACGGUGCCGGUCGUCAGCCGAUGAGGUGUGAUGGAGGAGCACAGGGCUCGGGCGACCGAUUGGUCAAGCCCGCAAGACGAGGGAGAGGAUCGGGGAGGAUUUGGAUCGAGGGGAGGUCUCGAGUGCUGGUUGGGUUGCUACCGAAAACAAAGAGGAGAAGGUAGGAGGAGGCGCUGCGGAUGGAUGGAUUUGAUAGAUGGUGGCAGCGUCUGAUCCUAGGAGGGAGGAGCCUGUAGGUGGCGGCGGCUAGGGAGGACAAAUGUCCUAGUUUUUAGGGUUGGGAUAAAAUUUGGUCCGGUGAAUAUAUAGCAGGUGGACUAGGCUUAGGGGCUAUCUCGUCCCUCCGAUUGUAAUCGGAUGGUCGCUAAAAAAGGCUAGGAAGUCCUAAUAAGAAAACGGAGACGUUUUGCAGAUGUUCGGGGAUGUUCCGGACCCAACGGUGGCGACAGUCCGGGUCGGGUUUGGGUAAGUUUCGGAUGCGCACGAGAGGUCUAUGCGCGGCGCAAAGAGGGGUUAGGUAGGGCCUGACGGUGAGUGGUGGUGGGCUGAGAAGAGAGAGGGAGAAAGCAACCCGGCAACUAUUUCCGGAGACCGGAAACGUCCGACGUUUGACCGGUUAUACUGCCGCUAUAGUUUAACGGUUGGGCUAUCAAACGAACUCCGAAUGUGAUGAAACUUGACAGGCGGUAUAUCUACACUAUAAUAAUACCACACGCCAACUUUCAUCCCAUUCCGAGAACAUUUUCCGGCCACUUAUAAAAUAAUAUUUCGGACGUGCCGCGGGCUCGUGCAAGUGUGGUUGGGCUCAGAACGGACAAUGGAGUGAACUGGAGGAACCCGGACGGAUGCAAGUUUUGAAAACAUGAUGAUGCAAUGCACAUGAUGACAUGGCAAGAUGCAACACGCAAGCAAAAGACAUGGCAACGACGGCGAAUAACUGGAAGACACCUAGCGCAUCGGUCUCGGGGCGUUACAACACUCCACCACUACGAGUGGAUCUCGUCCCGAGAUCUAGAAUGGCACCGGAGGGACAACAGAAGAGAAAGAGGAGAGGUAAAAACUAAGUUGCUUUUUUGACAAACGAGUGAGACCAAAGAACCUUGAAAAGGUUGCGCAAAAUGAAAGAAAGAAAGCAACAGAGAAGAACAAAGUUGAAAGCACUCCGUUAAGAAAGAGGAAUAAGAAAGAACCGAUUCGGGUAGCACUUCGGUUGAAAAGAUAUGAAGACUUGAUAAAAUGAGAGAACUUGAGCAAAAGGGACAAAACACUACGGUUAAAUGGAUAAGCCAAGAAAAGAACAGGAUCAUGACAAGAACAAGAAGAAGGUUUGAAGAGAGCAGCAACACAAUGCCUCCGGAACAAAAGUAAGAAUGGAAAGAACGAAGGGAAAAAAUGAGAGCACGCUUACAACAAAUGCUAGAAUGGAGUUGUUGGGAAAACCAACAACGAAAAGAAUAAGCUUGAUAUGGUCUUAUGGAAUACAUCUCAAAUUAUGAAGUGACCACCUGCCACUCACGGAAAAAUAAAUUGGAUUGAUAUGAACGAGGAGACGAGAACAUAUUUCACCGGGAGGAUAAAGAAGAACUUGGGUCCUUUAUAAGCACCAUAAAUAGCAACAAUCCUUAGGGAAGGUUUAAGGUGAAAUAUAACCCAAGAUAACUCCAAUGACGAGAUUAAUGGAUUUAAAAUAUCUCAUUCUUAACAACAUGUGAAUCAUGAAACAUGAACUCAAAUUAUCAAGAAUGACAUAAUACCACCUCCAAUGAUAUGGAAGAAAGAAUUUCACUCCGGAUAGCAAGAAGAAGAAUGCUUGAGUUCCUCUGAAAAGAAUCUCGAUGAACACUUCGAAAAGGAAAUAAAUCCUUUAUGAACCAACAUGUAGAACCUUCAUGAAGAACUCCGGUAACAAAAGGAUAACAAAAAAGAAAGAGAAGAUGAAAACACAAGGUGAAACCUUGCAAUGAUUAGAUGGACCUUCGCGACGAUAUAUUUGAGAGAACUUGGAACUCUGGAAAAGAAAAGAUGAAACAAUAGAAACCGAGAAUUUGGUGAACCUCCGGAAUAAGGAAUUAAUCACUUGGAUGAAAGAAGAAUAAGAAUUACAUUAUGCUUAUCCUUCACCAAUUUAGAUUGAUGACAAGCAACGGAUUUGGCAUACUACUUAUUCUCGAAGAAAGGAUUAAGAUAGAUAUCGCGCCAACUAGAGAAUGCCAUCAACGAAACACCAGUGGAAUCGAAACAACGAAUGAAUUGAUAUGAUAACGAAAGAAGAGGAAUCUUGCACGAACCACCGUAAGAAUUGAAAAUGAAAGUAGCAAAGGCACAAAUCACUGGGUAGAAUUGGAAAACGAAUGAAGAUACUUGAGAGUAUUUAGAUACAAGUGAACGAAGAGAUCAUGAGCCGAUUAGAGAAUACUUGAAUGAUGCACCGGUAAGAUUUAGAGAAAGAGAGCUUAAAGCUGGAAUCAAUAAACCGAAAUGAUGGCCUUCGAAGAAUCAAACUGAAAAGACUCAUGAAUUACACCGGAUAGGUGAAAAGAAUUUCAUGAUCGAAAACAAUUAUGAGAGGAUGGCCUCGAACUAGAACCACGAAUCUUGAAGAGAAUGAAGCAAGAUAUGGAGGAAAAACUCUCUUCGGUCUUCAAAAUCUGAGAAUUACGACGAGAAACACCACCAUGAAUUGUUGAGACACUCCGAAUGAUGAUUUUAAAGGUUGAACCAAUAAUGAAAAGAAAUGAAAGAUCUUGGAGAAAGACAUUUGACUGAUGACAAUGCAUUCUUACGUCAAAUUUCGAAAAGAAUUUGAUGGUAGCUCCGGGAAAAUAGAAGAGUCAGGUAAGAUCCUGGAAAAGACCUGUGGGUUAGGGCCCACUGAAAAAGAAACACCGUUGAAUGAUUUAAAAGAUAGAUUGCGCCGGUUGAGUUAAAUGACUUGAAUGAGAUAACAUUCUCGAAAAAGUUUGAACGAAAGCAGAGUGGAAACAUGAAUCUUCGAGAUAUCUUCAGCACUCCGGAACAAUAGAAUAGCGAGAGGUGAACGAUUAAGAAUUGCACCGGCAUGAGAAAGCAUUGACAUGAGGAAAGGGUAUGAUCAACAAAGCUUGACUUGAAACCACCGGAGAAGAAAAAGAACGAAGAAUGAUGAACUUGAAGCUCCAUUAGAAUCUUCAUGAGAAUCACCGGAUAAAAACAUUGACGUUAAACAUGGGGAGACUUCCCAUCAAUAAAAUGGAUACUCUAAGAAGAAAUCUGAGUCCUUGAAGAAACAAAGGGAGGGAGGGUGCGAAAACAAAGACAACUUGGGAUGGAUGAAACAAACACCGUUGAGAAGAAAUGAUACUUGAUCUUGCUGAUGUUGAAAUGAUCGGAUCCACUUGAAGAGAAAACACGCCGGUUGGAAAAAAGAAUUGAGAUGACCAUCUCGAUGAUGAAGAAGGGUUAGUAUUCACAAAGGAGUAUGAGAACACCACUUAGAAAAGGUAUGGAAUCAACACUUGACUUCGAAGCAACUCGAAUACCACAACUCAAAAGCAAAAUAAGAAUUGGCUUGCAAAAUAAGCUGGAACAAACAUAUGAUAGAGAUUUCGUCCGAAGUUUUUGUGGUGGGGCCUACACGGGCUCAAUCGUACAGCACCAUCAUGUACAAGGCAGUGCACAUGACAUACGAAGCGUCCCCGAGUCGGCAUAGCCAAGGACUCUUUAAGACACAACGAGACCACUGUAAAACCAACUGUGGAUAGGCGGACCACUAGACGUUGAACCCCAAUUUCAUAUCAUACAUCUGUCAGAAAGAUAUCCUAAGAGCUACUUGAAUUCCCACUUAUAAACCCCCGAAAUUUUUCGGUUAUGCAAUCAGGUGUUGGGGAUACAGGGGAAGCAUAAUAUCUCACCCAAAACUAACAAAUCCUACAUCCAGCUGUAUCCAUCCUUCAACACAUAACCAAGAAACCUUUGGAAAUCGUCUACCUCAACCUUCGAAAAGCAUCCGUUAUACGAGUUAUGGCAAUACUCCCGAACUCCCGCCCCAGUACUGGGUGGCGUCAAGGUUAUCUCACCAACAACUACAUAAAAGAGAUUUUCGAUGUUGGCGAAAACUAAACUCAGGUAUUCCAGAACUGCAACGAUAAAAUUAUGACGACAACACCUCGGAGCUCAACUCCCCGGGACACUGCCACAACCCCUAAAUGACGGGAGGCACCAAGAACAAUGUUCUCGUCAUAAAUCGAUCGGAACGAUUCCAAGAUACCCGCGUGAUCCUAAAUUUUUUUAGUGAAAUUUGAGAAGAGAAGAGUCAAAACUCUACGUCAGGAUACCUUACCAGAGCGAUGAAGGGACUGGGGAGUAAAAAGAAUUCCUAAACUCUCCGAUAUAUAAUUCCUAAAUGACUCAAAACAUUUUUCUAGACUCAACAACGGCAGCUAAUUCGAUCAAGCAGUGGGGCUCCUAAGGUCGGGGAAGGCUCUGAUACCAACUUGUAACGCCCUUGAUGCGGCUAUAUCUCUCACGUGUCGAAGCACAACUUAGAGGCAUAACCGCAUUCAAAGCAAUGUCGCAAGUGAGGUAAUCUUCGCAAACAACCCAUGUAAUACAAUAAGGGAAAAGAAUACAUAGUUGGCUUACAAUCGCCACUUCACACAAAUACAUGAAUAAAGCAUUACAUCAUCCAAAUACAAUCAGGGCCCGACUACGGAGGCAAAAGAAAAGAAGACUACCCCAAAUGCUAGACAGAUCCCCGAUCGACCCCAACUGGGCUCCACUACUGCUCAACUGGAACGAAACAACACAAAGGACAAGGUCUUCAUCGAGCUCCUCCUUGAGCUUGGUUGCGUCAUCUGCACGGUUCAACGGCACCUGCAAGCUGGUUUUGGAAGUAUCUGUGAGUCACGAGGACUCAGCAAUCUCACACCCUCGCGAUAAAGACUAUUUAAGCUUAUGGGUAAGGUAAAAGGCAUGAGGUGGAGCUGCAACAAGCGACUAGCAUAUAUGGUGGCUAACAUACGCAAAUGAGAGUGAGAAGAGAAGGCAAAGCUCGAUCGAGAAACUAUGAUCAAGAAGUGAUCCUAGAACAACCUACGUCAUGCAUAACUCCAACACCGUGUUCACUUCCAGGACUCCGCCGGAAAGAGACCAUCACGGUUACACACGCGGUUGAUGCAUUUUAAUUAAGGUCAACUCUAGGUUUUCUACAACCGGACGUUAACAAAUUCCCAUCUGCCCAUAACCGUGGGCACGGCUUUCGAAAGUUCAAUCCCUGCAGGGGUGUCCCAACUUAGCCCAUCACAAGCUCUCACGGUCAACAAAGGAUAAACCUUCUCUCGAGACAUUCGAUUAGACUCGGCAUCCCGGUUCUACAAGAUAACUUCCACAAGGUAAAACAAAUCCAGCAACACCGCCCGAAUGUGCCGAUAAAUCCCGAUAGGAGCUGCACAUAUCUCAUUCUCAGGGCACACUCAGAUGAGACAUCCUAUGAGUAAAACGAAACCUCAAGUUGCCCCGAGGUAGCCCCGCAGUCUGCUCGGUCGGACCAACACUCAGAGGAGCACUGGCCCAGGGGGGUUUAAAUAAAGAUGACCCUUGAGUCCACGGAACCCAAGGGAAAAAGAGGCUAGGUGGCGAAUGGUAAAACCAAAGUUGGGCAUUGCUGGAAGAGUUUUAAUCAAGGCAAACUGUCAAGGGGUUCUCAUUAUCACCCAACCGCGUAAGGAACGCAAAAUCCGGGAACAUAACACCGAUAUGACAGAAACUAGGGCGGCAAGAGUGGAACAAAACACUAGGCAAAAGGCCGAGCCUACCACCCUUUACCAAGUAUAUAGAUGCAUUCAUUAAAUAAGAGAUAUUGUUAUAUCCCAACAAGUAAACAUGUUACAACAAGGAACAACAUCUCCAUGUUCCAACAAGGAACAAACUUCAUCUUCACCUGCAACUAACAAUGCUAUAAGAGGGGCUGAGCAAAGUGGUAACAUAGCCAAUCAACGGUUUGCUAGGACCAGGUGGGUUAGAGGCUUGGUUUAGCAAUAUGGGAGGCAUGAUAAGCAAGUGGUAGGUAUCGCAGCAUAGGCAUAGCAAAAGAGCGAGCAACUAGCAAGCAAAGAUAGAACUGAUUUCGAGGGUAUGGUCAUCUUGCCUGAAAUCCCGCAAGGAAGAAGAACGAGUCCAUGAAGAAGACAAACGGACGAAGUCGAACGAAUCCUCACAACACGACGUUACCGGAUUACCGAGAAGAAGUACACCGGAAAAGGAAGCAAACAACAUAGUAAACAACCACCACAUAAGCAUGGCAUGAUGCACAAUCAAGUAUGAUGCAUGUCCGGUUUAAUGAAGCAUGGCAUGGCAAAGUGCAACAAAUAAUACUACAAAUUAAGUGGAGCUCAAUAUGCAUCGGGAUGCAUAUUGACGAAACACCACAUCAAUUAUUUAGUUCGAUCUCGUUUAUGUGCCCAACAAAAUUAAAUGUUGUCAACCAUAGCAAGGGGUGAAGCAUAAGUAAACUAACUAUCUAGUCAAGUUUAAAUGAGGCCGGAAAUAACAAACAACAAUUCUGGAAACUCCUCAUGUGCAUAUUAUAAGGUUUGGUACUAUUCUGCCCUAAACCAUGUUUUAGAGUUGUUAAACAUGCAAAGUAAGGCCACCAUGUUAAACUAGGCAAAAUUCUACCCCAUUUACAUAUAAAGUUUGUUAAAAUUGGAGUUAUGGUUAUUUAGUUAUGAAUUAGUCAUCUUAGCAUGGAAUAGGAGCAAAUUAAUGCAAAUAGCAGGUUAAACAAUUUGAACAUGUAUGAAAGUGACAUAUUAUGAAACUAGACACAAUUUUAAGCAAGUUUCAUAUAUAAAUUGUUUUAAUCCGAUGCACGGUUGUGGAGAUAUUAAAUGCAUGAAGUUAGAGGGUUUUUCUGCAAAACAACCAUCUCAGGAAUAAUAGCUAAAUUCGCAGACAAGGAAAAAACAUAUUGGGCCGAAUCUGAGGGCUGGCCCAACAAACAGAGGGGCAAGAGGGGCUUCUCACCCAGCGGCCAGCUCGGGCUGGGCCGAACAAGGAAGAGAAAGGCCGGCCGAGGGGAUGGAGUUGACCGGUCGCCUGGCGCUAGGACGGGGUCAAAACGGGCGAGCGGGAUACUUGGCGUUGUGUGCGUCUCCAAGAAGAACAGGGUCGCGGCACCGGUGCUCGUCAGGAAAAACAGAGCAGCGGCGGGACUUGGGCGAAGGACGGUGAUGGCUCGCCGGCGUUGGGGCUCGAGGCGGCCGGGUGCUGAACAGCACGGCGUGGCGCGGGACUUGGCGGUGAAGGAACCAGGCGGAGGCGAGGGGCGCUCGACCAGAAGCAGAGCAACAGCGGCACUUGGCGAGGCGACGCGACGAGGGACUUGGCGCGGGGCGACGGCUUCAGUAUAGGGGAGCUCGGGCGUAGGGGAUGGGAGGCCGGAUCCGGACGCGGGAGGUCGCCGGGGUCCCGUGCUAUGCCGGAUCGAAACGGAGGCAGGCCGACAGACUUGGAGCUCCAGGCGGUGGCGCGAUGCAGGUGCAGGGGCGGAGGAGCACCGCUCCAGGCUCGGGACGGCGACGACUUGGACUCCAACGAGGCUUGCUGGAGUCAAGGAGGGAGGGAUCCAGCGGCGGCUCGUGGUGGUCCUGGAUGGCGAUGAAGCAGAGGAACGGCCCACGGUGAUGGCGAAACAGAGGAGGGCCGGCGUGGGCAAUGAUGCAGCGGGGCGCGGUGAUGGACUUGGCGCGGGGAAACCGGUCGGAGGCGAGCGGCGUCUGGCGUGGCGAGGUAGCAGGCCGGCGGCGACGACUGCUGCCGAAGGGGAUCGGGGCGGCGUGGUCCGUCUCUGCUCGAUGCAGAGGCUGAUGUGGGACUAGAAGUUGCAGACGAAUAGGGGCGCGGGCGCUUAACUUGUGGUCGCCGGCGACGAUGCCGGUCGUCAGCCGACAAGGUGGGAUGGAGGAGCACGGGGCUCGGGUGACCGAUUGGUCAAGCCUGCAAGACGCGGGAGAGGAUCGGGGAGGAUUUGGAUCGAGGGGAGGCCUCGAAUGCUGGUUGGGUUGCUACCGAAAACAAAGAGGAGAAGGUAGGAGGAGGCGCUGUGGAUGGAUGGAUUUGAUAGAUGGCGGCGGCGUAUGAUCCUAGGAGGGAGGAGCCUAUAGGUGGCGGCGGCUAGGGAGGACAAAUGUCCUAGUUUUUAGGGUUGGGAUAAAAUUUGGUCCGGUGAAUAUAUAGCAGGUGGACUAGGCUUAGGGGCUAUCUCGUCCCUCCGAUCGUAAUCGGAUGGUCGCUAAAAAAAGGCUAGGAAGUCCUAAUAAGAAAACUGAGACGUUUUGCAGAUGUUCGGGGAUGUUCCGGACCCAACGGUGGCGACAGUCCGGGUCGGGUUCGGGUAAGUUUCGGACGCGCACGAGAGGUCUAUGCGCGGCGCAAAGAGGGGUUAGGUAGGUCCUGACGGUGAGUGGUGGUGGGCUAAGAAGAGAGAGGGGGAAAGCAACCCGGCAACUAUUUCUGGAGACCGGAAACGUCUGACAUUUGACCGGUUAUACUGCCGCUAUAGUUGCAAUCCGUGAUAAAUUCACCUCAUGCCUAUGAACAAAAUAAAGCUUUUACUAAACAUAUCAUAGAUGCCAUGAUGAAAGCUUUAGAAGAAAAGUUGGAAUUUGAGAUCUCAAUUCCUAGGAAAUUAUAUGAUGAAUGGGAACCUACCAUUAGAGUCAAGAUUAAAAAUUAUGAGUGUGUUGCUUUAUGUGAUUUGGGUGCUAGUGUUUCCACAAUUGUGAAAUCUUUAUGUGAUGUGCUUGGUCUUACCGAUAUUUAAGAAUGUUCUCUUAAUUUGCACUUGCUUUAUGUGAUGUUCUUAUUCUUGCAAAUAGGUAUUGUGUGCCAUUGAUUUUGUUGUUCUUGAUAUUGAUUGCAAUCCGUCUAGUCCUAUCAUACUUGGUAGACCGUUUUUACGCACUAUAGGUGCCAUGAUUGAUAUGAAAGAAGGGAAUAUUAAAUUUAAGUUUCCACUAAGAAAGGGUAUGGAACACUUCCCUAUGAUAAGAAUUAAUCCACCAUAUGAAUCAAUAAAGAGAGCAUCCAAUGGGACCAAAAUUAAAGAUGACAAUACUUGAAUCUAUGCAUUACGCCUAGCUAGGGGCAUAAAAUGAGAGCGCUUGUUGGGAGGCAACCCAAUGAAUAAAAAUUAUUUUUGUCUUUUUCAUUCUGUUUUUGAGUGUUUGCACAAUUAUGCUACUUAUAUGAUUGUGUUUUCAUGUUUUAAUUAGUGUUUGUGCAAAUUAAAGCCAUUUAGAUUAUGUUUGGUGAAAGUUUAUUUGAUAUUGUUGGAAAACAUAAAAAAAUUCCGUCCAGUAAAACAAAUCUUAAAAAUCACAAGAGUGACGAAAAAUUCUGAAAUUUUUACACAUGAUUUAUAUAUGAAUUCCCUACGUUCUCCUCAAUUUUUAGAAGUUUUGGAGUUAUAGAUUGUUUCGUUUUUCAUAGAUUAUAUUUUCUUUGCAUUAUGUGCUUGUCUUGAUGAAUCUAUGGUUUGUAUCGGAGUGUAUAAGCUAUGGUAAAGAUAUAAUACAGUAGGUAUAAUGCAAAAACAAAAUAUGAAUUGGAUUUCAACUGUACUUAAAGCAAAGAUUGGUUUUAUUAUACUAAUGGAUCUCACAAAGGUUUUGUUAAGUUUUGUGUGAUUGAAAUUUUCAAGUUUUGGGUGAGAUCACGAUGUAUGAAGGAAUAAGGAGUGAAAAGAGCCUAAGCUUGGGGAAGCCCAUGGCACCCAAAGUUACUAUUCAAGGAGAACCAAGCAACUAAGCUUGGGGAUGCCCUGGAAGGCAUCCCCUCUUUCUUCUACCAAUCAUCGGUAAUUUUACUUGGAGCUAUAUUUUUAUUCAUCACAUAUCAUGAGUUUUGCUCGAAGCAUCUUGUAUUAUAUGAGUUUUCGCUAGUUUUUCUUUUUUAGUUUGUGUCAUCUAUCCUUGUUGGACACACCUAUUUGAGAGAGCCAAAAUUACGCUAUAAUUUGUUAGAAUUGCUCUAUAUGCUUCACUUAAUUUUUUU
rnacentral:lncRNA from 1 species